rnacentral:lncRNA from 1 species
AACGACUUUUAUGCUUUGAACUAAGGCUGUUUGAUAUUAAGACCCAUCUGACGCUAUUAGAUAAAAUAGAGUUGGGAUAAAAGCAUAUGGGAUAUGCUUCUGCGUUUUUAAUGGCAUCGCAAAAAAUAUAUCGUAACCAACUCAUCGCGAUAUGCGGAACGCAAUAUUACGUACGGAAACAAACAGAACAUUUUCCUUCGUACUUUCUCACCACACGUAAUGCAAUCUUCCCACAAUCCCAAACAAAGCCUAAACUAACGUGCAUAGUAUGAAAAAAGAAAAAAAGAAAAAAAAAUCAAAGAGGGCCAUUGUGUUCGGCUGGGUAUUCGACUUGCUCUAGCUCGGAUCGUAAUUAAAUAAGCCGAGCUUGGGUUACUGGGGUCACCUGUAUUAGGCUUCAAAAGCUCAUAUAUAUAUAUAUAUAUAUAUAUAUAUAUAUAUAGAGAGAGAGAGAGAGAGAGAGAGAGAGAGAGAAAACUAGGUUGGAACACUAUCAAUAGCACCAAACUAUUGGUGCUAUUGAUUUUUUAGCCCUUAAAUUGAAAACUAGGUUGGAACACUAUCAAUAGCACCAAACUAUUGGUGCUAUUGAUUUUUUAGCCCUUAGAUUGAAAAAUGGAUGGUUAGGAUGAUGUGGGCCCCCUAGGGUUGAGUGAGUGGUUGGUUGAAUAGUAUAAUCUAACGAAUAAAAAUAAUCAUAGGGUUAAAUCUAACGGCGGAAAACUCGAUAACACCAAAUUCUUUGUGCUAUCGAUAGUACCCCAGCCGUCCGGCUAUGGUGCUUGUAAAUUUUUUACCGUUAGAUCUAUAUCUUUGAUCAUUUUCACCUGUUAGAUUAUAUUAUUCAACCAACCACCCACUCAACCCUAGGGGGCCUACAUCAUCCUAACCGCACAUUCCUUAAUCCAAGGGCCGAAAAUUUACGAGCACCAAUGACUUGGUAUUUUUAAAAGUAUAGGAGCUCAAUUCUAGCUAUAUAUAUCAAUUCAUAAACUAAUUUUCUUAGUAUUAUGCUAUGGCAUUUUAUACAUUUAUUUUGUAUAUUAAACUAUAAAAAAUAUUCUCGUGUCAAGUUCUAAAUAAUGUUCUAUGAAAAUCAAAUCGUAAAUUGCUCUAUAUCAGAAAUUUCAAAUAGCUCGUUUAGGGCUCGCAUUCGCUCGAGCUCGACUCGAAUUAAUUUUAAGCUGAGCUUUAGCUUGAAUUUAGCUCAAAACUAUUUUCAAGCCAAACUUGAGCUAAGUUAAGCUCACUCGAGCUCGACUUGCUUUCAUCCUUAAUUGCACGCAGUCAAAAAUGCAAUAAAAAAAUAUUCUAUUUAUUUCUGUAAGUGACAACUACUUAAUCAAAUAACACUUGUUCAAUUAGAAUACACUUUUUGUAGUUGCAAUGAUAAACAUUAUAAGCCUGUUUGUUUGGGUAAAAUGGAGAAGGGUGAAGUCGUUUUCGGCCAUAAACGAUUACUUCUAUUUGGUUCGCAGUAUUAAAGAUAUGAUCGAAACUCGAAUUAUCUAAAACAGUAUAAUUGACUUUGGCCUCCCUGGGCCGAAGUCAAUUAGAGUGAAAAAAGGUGAAAAAAAUAAUAAUACAAUGGGCAAUACUAGUUAUAUUUAAAUAUAUUUAAUUGUAUAUGGUACUUAUUACUCUUUUAAUUUAAAAUAUGAUAAAAUUUGAUUAAUUAAGUUUUAGUAUUUUUUUAAUUUAGUUUGUAUAUUUAAAAUGCAAUGAAAAUUGCUUAGUUAAGUAUUAAUUUUUUUCUACUUUAUAAUUUUAUUAUUGUAUUAUUAUAAUUUGUGUAUAAAAAAUAAUUUAGUUGUUUCAGAUUAAAUUUUUUAAUUAUAUAAGAAUAUAAUUACAUUAUUUUUAUUUAUUAAAUAAUAAUUUAUUAUUUAUUAAGUUAUUUACACUACAAUAAAAACGGUAUAUAGCGACACUUUUAAAUAUCGAUAUAGGUUAAAAAAAAAUGCUGCUGGCUAAAUUACCGACACUUUUUAAAAGUGUUGCUAAAUGUGGGGUCGCUAUAUGUGAGGCCACCAUAAUGUUUGGCACCCACUCCUCCAGCGACCCGUGGCGGAGGAACACAUGGCGACAGUAAUCCUCUACGGUCCCUGCGAGAUUCUCACGGCCGAACUCCAGCCACCGGAACCCUAUCUCGUCGGCUGCGGUGGCGGAGGAGAAGUGGAAAUGAUGAUUAAUUUUUCUUUUUCUUUUUUUUACUUUUCUAUUUGUAAUUGGGCCCGAGUGGGGUGGAUGGAAUUGGUUGAGUAGAGGAACUUUUUAUUUUUGAUUAGAUUGGACUUUAUAUUUAGGACUUAAUAGAUUUUUUUAAAAAGUUUUGGCAUAAAUGGGACACUUAUACAAAAGUGUCCCAAAAAUGUAUCCCUAUAAUCUAAUUCUGUUGUAGUGUUAUUAUUUAUAUAUAAAUUAUUGUUUUAUAUUAUGCAAUUUCUGCCAAACAAACAGUAGAACAGAAAAAAUUUUACUUUCAUAGCUAUGAAAACAAACAGUGAGAGAAAAGUAAUUUUCACCGAACUUCACUUUAACUCAAAAUUCAGUUUCAGUGAAACAAACAGGGUCUAUGCGACAGGCUCUAAGUUAUGAGAUGGCCCAUUCGACAUUACAAGUCAAAUGAUCCACACACACACUACGCAUUACGUUCUAGUGCGUGGGUCCAAAUGAUAAAAAGGGCCCUUUUAACGUGUCACAAGCAAUAAAAAAACUAAGCCAUCAAAAUUGCUCCACUAUAGAAAAAUUCAAUAUCCUCCACAAGUUUUUUUGCCACGCUAACCCAGUUUACUUUUUUAGUGUACCAAUUCAAAUCCCUCAACCAACUCAAACACUUGCAUAUGACUCGUUUUUGAAGCAUAUUUAUUGCUCCUUAAUUUCUCACAAUCCAUAACAUAGAGAUCAUAAAACAAAUAUACAGUGUCACUUCAUAAACAUGGCUUAUGUGAAAGGUGUUUUAGCCAUUGCUAUUUUCGUCGUGGCUUCUUGUGUUAUACAUGUCGAGAGUCGGGUCGCGAGGAAAGGCCUAGGCAUAAGCAUCGGUGAUGGCGGCGGAGUCGGUAUCGGUGCCGGAACAGGAAUCAGUGUGGGCAUAGGAGAUGGUAGUGCCUCCGGUUCUGGUUCGGGCUCAGGGUCUGCAUCCGGGUCUAGUUCUGGCUCUGGUUCCGGAGCUAGCUCAUCUGCCGGUUCGGGUGCUGGUUCAUCUGCUGGAUCAGGUGGAUCGUAUGCUGGGUCCGGUGCAGGGUCCGGCGUUGGUUCGGGCUCGGAACACGGUCAAGCGCACGGAUCGGGCCAAGGGCAAGGGUUAGGUUCGGGUUCAGGUUCGGGUUCAGGGCAUGGUGAAGGCUACGGAGAGGGUUAUGGCUCGGGUGAGGAUUCUGGGUCAGGUUCAGGUCAUGGUGAAGGAUACGGGGAAGGUUACGGGUCAGGGUCAGGGUCCGGGUCGGGUAACGGUUCUGGAUAUGGUUAUGGCGAAGGGCGCGGAUAUGGAUCUGGAAAUGGUAGUGGAAAUGGUAAAUACUAAAUAGAGGCCUAAGUUUACCAUCCUAGUUUUUGGGCCACCUCUAUGUACUUAUAAAUAAUGAGAUGGUGAAUAAAAAUAAAUAGUUAGUGAGUUACCCCAAUAAUUUAAUUACUUUGGAACAAAUUUAUAUAUUGCAUGAUAUUAACAUGAUGAAUCAACAUAAUGAAUAUCAUUAUAUUCUUCAACAGAAACUGCUUUAAUUGUGAUCCUCUUCACUUUCAAUUUUUCAGACUUAGAUGAUUGUAGUUACAAAAGCUAAAAAAAUUUAUCAAAUUAAUUAAUAAUUAUAUCAGAUAUAAGAGUUUUAGUUACUUUUCGGCACAUAAAAUGGGAACAGUUAAAUAGCUAAUAGCGUCAUUAACUUAAAUAAUUUAAUAUUCUUAGUCGAUACACUACAACAGAAUUAGGUUAUAGCGAUACAUGUUUAGGACACUUUUGUAUAAGUAUCACAUUUAUGCCAAAACUUAAAAAAAAUCCUACUAAUGCCUAAAUAUAAAGUCCAAUCCAACUAAAAAUAAAAGGGUACUCUACUCAACCCACUCCACUUAGCCUAUUCGGCCCGAUUACAAACAAAAAAGAAAAAGAAAAGAAAAAGAAAAGAAAAAUCAAUUAUCAUUUUCCCUUCUCCCCUCACUCAAUCGACUGAAAUCCUAGACGAAGAUCAUUUCCUCUCGUCCUCCUCUGCCACCGCAGCCAACGAGGUAGAGUUCCGGCGGUUGCUAAAUGCUUAAAUAAAUGUUGGUAAAUUAGCAGCACUCUUUUAGAUUAUAGCAACACUCUUUAACUGUCACUAUAUAUCUAGCGACUCCACAUAUAGCAACACUUUUCAAAAGUGUCGGUAAAUUUAGCCAGCAGCACUUUUUUGAUCUAUACCGAUAUUUAAAAGUGUCGCUAUAGACCGUUUUUGUUGUAGUGAUACUACGGAAAGAAAUAGUAAGUUUGAAUCUCUCCCGACUCCUUGUGAUUCUUUAGUACAAUUUAUAUGCGUACAAUAUUUGAAUAAAAUUUGAUCAGAGUACAAAAGUAAGUUUCAUUAAAAGAAUAAAUAAACACAAUAUUGUACACAUAAUAAUGUUUCUGAGAUCUGAUUCAUCAGAACACUCCUUAUUUAUAAUCUGAGUCCUAUGCUUAUAAAUUGGAUAGUCACGCAUUUUCCAAGCUCACAUGUCAGUGUUCGGUACAUUAAAUAAUUGUAAUUUAUUCAGAAUUAAGCAUAUAUAAAUAAGAGUACAAAUUAUAAUAAUAGUAGUAAUAAAUAACAUUAAAGUUCAAAACACCAAGUUAUACUCAACAAUAAAAACCUUAUUUUAUUCUGAAAUGGACACCCUUUAGCUUUUUUUUAAAAUUUGAAUUUUUAUAGUUAAUCAAGUUAAAAUAUUUGUUAAAUUUCAUAGAUCAAUUAGCUAUUAGCAGUUUGUUAUUCUAUUUUUUUUAAUUUAAACAAUUUUAAUAGAACUAUCAGCCAAUUCGGUAAAAUUUUAAUUUAUUUGGCCAAACUAAUUCAAAUUUUUUUUAAAACAUAAAAUGUUCAGAAAAUCUAAAUAAAGCAAAUAGUAAUUCAGAGAGCUAUUUCAAAAUGGCUUAUAUAUUUUCUGAACAUGUGUGUAACACCUGCUAAAAUUAAAAGUUAAAAAGAUCUCAUCAAUAGAUUAAAAAUAUAGUAGUAACUCAGAGGACUAUUUCAAAACCCCUAUAUUAAAAAUAUAGGGGUUCUGGAUCCAACGCAAACCUAUAUGAGCUUGAGAAUGUGAUAUAUAUGAAACUCAGUCAAACUAAAAGUUUAAACUUAUUAGGUUUGAACUCAUUAGUAGAUAUCAAUUUUUUACUCCUUUGUUAAGCGAACUCACUCAUUUGAGAUCAUGCGCUUUUUAAGUUGCGUUAUUCUGCUAUUCAUCAGAGCUCAUGCACCUGACCCGCGCCUUUCUGGUCCAACCAUAUUGAAUGCAUUAACCAUCUAAACGCAUGCGCCUAACCCAUGCCUCUCAAACCAAUUCGUUUUGGGGGGUGCCAAACCGUCAUAUCACGUAUUGUGACUUCUCUCAGCGAACAUGUCAUAUUCGUAAGAGCCACUCACUAACUUGAUCGCAAGUUUAAGCCUAUCAGGCUUGAACCCAUCAGUAUUCUUUACUCAUUUGUUAAGCGAACUCACUUAUCUGAGACUAUGCACUUUUUAAUCUGCGCCAUUCAAGAACUCAUCCGAGGCCAUGCACUUAGACCCGCGCCUUUCUGACCCAACUAUAUUGAAUGCAUUAACUAUCUGAACCUAUGCGCUUAACCCAUGCCACACCUCUCAAGCCUAAUUCUCUUCGGUGGCGCCAAACCAUCAUAUCGUGUUUCGUGACUCUCUCAGCAAACCCGUCGUAUUCAUGAGAGUCAUCAAUUCAAUUACACCAUAUCAUUUAGAUAAAUAGUCGAGGAUUGUCAAAUCAUCCGCUCUAAUACCACUUGAUGGAGAGUUUUGAGGCCGGGACAAACCAACAUGAAUCAAGAAUAUGACAUAUUGAAUGCAAAUCAUUCGACCUAAAAGCUUAAACCUAUUAAAUCUGUGCCCACUAAUAUACAUCAAUCAUUUUCUCUCUUAUUAAUAUUAUCUGAUAUUAGACUAUUCACGUGUGAACCCUUAACAAUUCGGUGCAUCAAUUAGCUAUGCACACCAGUAGGUCCCCCAAUAACGUUGAUAACGAAAAUCGCGCUUAGUGGGUGUUAUUAAAGCGCUAAUCUUAAUAUUUAAGAUAAAACUCAUUGAAUCGAAUUUAAUUAUUAUUUACUGGUUGAAUUUGACUAACUUCAGUGAAUAUUUGUGUUCUUGUCAAGAGUAGAUGUAUACAUUUUUUUAAAAGGUUAAAAUACAGAAAAUUCUCUUAUAAUUUUUUUUUUUUACUUUAUAAAUCUAUAUUUUAAUUUUUUUAAAAAAAUAGAAAUAUUAAUGACAAAAUAACAAAAUUGUCCUGAAAGAAUAGUUUUUUAAUAUUUCUAUUUUUUAAAGAAUACUUUUAGCAUAAAUUAUAAGAAAUUGGUGAAAUAGUAACAGAACCCUAACAAAAGGGACUAAACACAUUAUCUUGAAAUUUUGAGAGGAUAAAAUAUAAAUUUUUAAAAAUUAGAGAGGAAAAGUGAAAAAAAAGAUAUUUACCGGAAGAUUUUUUAUAUUUUAAUUUUUAAUAUACAGUCAAAUAUUUGGGAAAUAGCUCACAAUUUUUUUUUGAAUAUUGCUUUUUUGUUGCUCCUAAAAUUUAUUAAACAAAUUUUAAUUAGUGAAACAAAAUAUUAAAACUUCUCCAAAUAAUACUUCUUCAGUUGAAUCUUGGCUUUCUUUCUUUUUCUUUUUCUUUUUUUUUUACGGAAAUGGUUAUCGCACAACUAACAUGCUCGUAAAUUUUCAAUUUUGAAUUAAUUUUUCACAACUAUUAUUUGUCCAUAAAUAAGUAUUAAAGGGUUCAGGGUGGAGAUGUAUAUCACUCCCAUUUAAUUUCAUAAAUGCUUAUUUAAAUUGUGAUCUCGUUCUCAUUGAAUUUAAUAAUGCAUUUAAAGAGAAUUUCUCAUCUCAUGCACUACAACAAAAUUAGAUUAUAGCGACACAUGUUUGGAACACUUUUGUGUAAGUGUUUCAUUUAUGCCAAAACAUAAAAAAAAAUCUACUAAUGCCUAAAUAUAAAGCCCAAUUCAACAAAAAAUAAAAGGUUACUCUACUCAACCCACCCUACCCAGCCCAUUCAAUCCGAUUACAAACAGAAAAGAAAAAAAAAAAAAAAAAAAUUAAUUAUCAUCUUCCUUUCUCCCCUCACUCAAUCCACUGAAAUUCUAGACGAAGAGCCCUUCCCUCUCCUCAUUCUUCGUCACCGCAACCAACGAGGUAGAGUUCCAGCAGUUGCUAAAUACUUAAAUAAGUGUUAGUAAAUUAGCAGCACUCUUUUUAGAUUAUACUGACACUCUUUAACUGUCACUAUAUACCUAGCGACCCCACAUAUAGCAAAAUUUUUUAAAAGUGUCGAUAAUUUAGCUAACAUCACUUUUUUUUAUCUAUACCGAUAUUUAAAAGUAUCCCUAUAGACCAUUUUUUUUUGUAGUGUCACUCCUGUUUAAUUUGAGAGAUUCGUCCUUUAUUAAAGUACAGCAGAUUUUUAGUAUAACAAAACAAUAGUCACCAUUCAUUUUAGCAAAAAAUAAUAUUGAGCAAACAUUCUUUUAUUUUCUCCUGCAUUAUUUCAUAUAAAAAAUUCAUUUCAAAAAUAAAAAUUUAUGUUACAUUGAAAUAGAUUUUUUACAUAGAAUGCGGGGUGGGUAUAAAUUUUAUAGGUAUAAAUUUUAUAUCCAAUGGAUAGGUGUACACAUAAUAUUGCUCUUACCUGACCGACCGUCCCUAGUGCAAGUGGCAAAGGGCUUAGUGGUUGGUAUCCGAAAUCCAAAUUCGAAUCCUAGUUAGAUUCACAUUUACAGCUAAAUUUAUUUUUAAAUAAAAUAAACGAAAAAGGUAGCGUGCUGCCUAUCUCUUAAAAAUAUAUAUAUAUAUAUUACUCUUACCUGAGUGUAUAGAGCUACGUACGUACACAUAAUAUGCUUUUUUUUUAAAAAAAAAUUUGAUUGAAUAUUGCAUAUCCUAAAUAGUGCAUGUGAAGUAAUAUAAAAAGACCAUCUAUUGAUUAUGGAUAAAUUUUACACUCCCCUUGUUCCAAAGACUUUAUUUUCCGCUUGUUUUAUCAAUUUUUGUUUCAACUAAAGGUUUUUUUUUUGAAUUUCAAUGAAAUUUUAAUAAAAUAAUAUAUAUAUAUUAUUAUAUAUUAUAUAUAUAUAUAUAAUAUAUAUAUAUAUAUAUAUAUAGUGCCGUCUGUAUACUUCUGGAAGCAAGAGCGCUCCGUGUUUCAAGUUGUUUUCGAUGUUCGAUUUUCGAAUCGACGAUCGGCUCCGUUAGACUUGAUCUAGAUAUUUGAAGUAUAUAAAAUAAAUUUUUGAGAUUUUCGAUAUCAUUUGCUAGUGAUCGAAGUGACUCAAAUCAUAAUUUAAUGGCCGUGGUGAGCCGUUUGAAGUUAACGGUGUAGAAUAUCCAAAUCACAUGAAAUUUUGAUAGAAAAUUCUUUAUACUAUAUAAAACAAGAUCAAUAACUUUAAUCUAAAAUUUUAAUGUCAUAUUCAUAUAUUUUGUAAAAUUUUUAUUUUCAACCUGAUUUUGAGCCACAAAAUUAUUUUCUAAAUACUUCAAAAUACUUUAGAUCAACUCUAACGGAGCCGAUCGUCGAUUCGAAAGUCCGAACAUCGAAAACAACUGGAAGCACGGCGGGCUCCGUACUUUCAGAAGCAUACAAGGUCACUCUAUAUAUAUAUAUAUAUAUAGAGAGAGAGAGAGAGAGAGAGAGAGAGUUGAGCUAAAAUACUAUCGAUAGCAAACGAGCUCCGUUGCCACCCAUUUGUUUUCGAUGAUGGAGCUUUCAAAUCGACGAUCGGCACCGUUGAACAUGAUCUAUACCACUUGAAGUGUUUAGAAAUCAAAUUUUAUACAUUUUCGAUAUUGUUCUUUUAUCUAUCGAAUGGACACAAAAAUGAAUGGCUGAAAAUGAAUAUUCUUUAAAAAAUGAUGAUAGAAAUCUUGUAAUCAAGAUUAAGAGUAUAGAUCUUGUUUUAAAUAGUUUAAAGAAUUUUCUAACAAAAAUUUAAUUGAUUUGGAUAUCUUUACACCGUUAAACGAGAAAACGCCUCACAUCGACCAUUAAAAUUACAAAUUUUGAAACCCUUUGAUCAUUAGGCAAAUGAUGUCGAAAAGAUUUAAAAUUUGAUUUCUAAACACUUCAAGUGAUAUAGAUCAUGUUCAACGGUGCCGAUCGUCAAUUUGGAGGCUCUAUCAUUGAAAACAAAUGGGUGGCAACGGAGUCCAUUUGCUAUCUAUAGUAUUCUAGCUCAACUCUCUAUAUAUAUAUAUUUAUAUAUAAAGCUAGGCUUCUAUGCUUUCGAAAGUACGAGAGCCUUCGUACUUGUAAGUUGUUUUCAAUAAUGGGACAUCCGAUUCGGCGAUCAGUUCCGUUAGACAUGAUCUACGCUGUUGGAACUACCUAGAAACCAAAUUUCAUAAAUUUUUUACUUCGUUUGUCUAGUAAACGAGCAGCCUCAAAAUGAACGGCUGAAAAUGAAAACCUCAUAAAAAACAGUGAUAAAAGACUCAAAUUUCAAAUCGGAAGUAUUGGUCUUGCUAUUGAUGUUAAGUAGAAUUUUCUAUUAAGUUUUUAUCUAAUUUGGAUACUUCAACACCGUUGAACUUAAAAACGUGCCACAUCGGCCAUUAAAAUAGUUAUUUUUGAGACCUUUUGAUCGGUUGGUAAAUGAUGUCAAAAAAUUAUAAAAUUUGAUUUCUAAAUAAUUUCAAUAGGAUAGAUUAUACUUAACGGAGCCGAUCGUCGAAUCGAAUUUUCUAUCAUUAAAAAUAACUUACAAGCACGGAGGUCUCCGUACUUUCGAAAGUAUACUUUCGAAAGUAUACGAGACUUACUUAUAUACUGUACUGAAAAGCUAUUGGACUCCCUGAUUUGUACCAAGUACCAACCAACGCACAUGGGGGCCUCAUAAACUAUGGAAACUUUUUCCACAAACAAAUUAAAGGGAACAUCUACUUUGGAUGUACCAAACCCCUCAAGCUUUUCUCACACUCCAUCUCUCUCUCUCUCUCUCUCUCUCUCUCUAUCUCUCUCAUACAAACUUUUUCUCUUUUUAACUUGCCUUUAUCUCUAGCUUUAUUUUCAAGGGAAAAAAACAAAAAAAAAAAACUCAUACUUCUAGUCCUUAUAUAUGUAUUAGAUAUUGGAUUCCAAAUUAUUGCCUACACGUAAUGCAUCUGCACAUUUGUAAAUCAUACAUUUAUCGAAUCUUCAGUUUCUACAUUAUUUUUCAGUGUUACCAUUUUUUUUUUUUUUUGAGAGAAAGAUAGCAUGCGACCCACUUCGUUUAUUUCAUUUAGAAAUAAACUUAGCUGGAAAUAUGAAUCAACUAGGAUUCGAACUUGGAUCUCGGGUACCAACCACCAAACCCUUUGCCACUUGCUCUAGGAACGGUCGAUAGUGUUACCACUUAUUGAGUCACAAUUUUUCUCUAUGUAUAUAUUAUGAACUGUUGAAUUAAAAGUAUGAGAUCGAUGAAUAACAGAUGAGACUUCCUUUAAUAUUGCAGGAGGAUUAUGUUGCGUACAGUCAAAAAUAACUCCUUUUGCCAAUAUAUAUAUAUAUAUAUAUAUCGAUAGCACGAAGCAUUUUGUGCUAUCAAGUUUUCUACCGUUAGAUUUAACUCUUUUAUCAUCUUCAUUCGUUCGAUUAUACUAUUCAACUAACCACCCACUCAACUCUAGAGGGACAACAUUAUUCUAACCGCACAUCUUUUAAUUCAAAGAUAAAAAAUUUAAUAACACCAAGUCAUUCGUACUAUUAAUAAUAUUCCAGCCUAGUUUUUUUUUUUUUAUGGUCCCACAAGAAAUAGAGAAUUAUUUUCCUAAUAAAAAAGAUUAGAUCUUGAAUCAAAAGUUCGGGGACUAGUAGGCGAAUUAUUAAUUUUAGUUGACUAAAGUCACUCAAUUCUGAAAAAUUAAAAGCCGAGGAAAUUUCAACCAAAAAAAAAAAAAAGAAAAAAGUUGAGGGCAAUUUCAAAACGACAAAUAGUUUAGGGGGUCUCCCCAACUUUUAACUUUUUUCCUUUUCUAAAAUGACGUGUCCCAUAAUUGCGGCAACCCCGAUAAAAAUCGACAGCAUAAAAACCGCGGGACCCACGCGUGUGUUGGGGGCGGAGCCAAUGAGAGCGCGCCGAACCCAACGGUCGUCAAUGCUGACGUGGCAGGAGUCCAAAGCCGGUAAACCCCCGCUCACCGCCACCGUCCAAAUCCCGAGUCCACCGGCUCGCCGGUGAAUCUCCCGGUCACCCCCGCCCCUUCCCCGUUUUAGCCGCGACCGGUUCAACCGGUCGUCAAAUACCCCGUUCGUUUCAAAGUUUGAAUGAAGCUGCUACCAUUUUUGCAAACAAACCCACUAAAAAACAGAUAUUUACAUAUACCGGAAACCCCCUCAAAUAUAGCUUAAUUCGAACUGGUCCCCUCAACUUUCUUUCUUAACACCUUUAAAUUUUGGAAAAUUUUCAAAUACCACCUUAUAGUUUCACACUUUUUUAUUUUAGUACCAUAUAGUUUAAAGUGUAUCAAUUUAGUACUCAAGGUUUCAUUUUUCUUUUUUAUUAUCCCAUCCACUAAUUUUUUUCGUUAUAUUAGUGACAAAGUUCAAACUAAAAGAUAUUAAGUAAAUAUCCGAUAAACUUAGGUAGGGUAUCUGAAAUUUUUUGUUUAUAAUUUAACAAAAUGUUAACGGAGGAGCUGACGAAAAGAGAGAAAUAAAAUCAUAGGAUACUAAAUUGAUACAUUUUAAAAUACAGAAUACUAAAGUGAGAAAAUACUAAACCACGAGACUGGUAUUUGAAGCUUAUCCUUUAAUUUUUUAUUUUUUACGAACUAAAUAUAAAAAUUUUAUCAAUUUUAAUCAGUAUAAUUUUUUUUAACAAAUAGAAUAAGAAUGAUUACUUUUUAUUUAUAUUUUUCUAAAUAGAAUUUAUACAUAAAAUAGUGUAGUAGGAAAUGGUUGAAUUAUUUAUAAAUCUUAUAUCCAAGUUGUUUACUUCACAACAAAAGUUACAAACAUAAAAAUGAUUUUUUAAAAAAAAAAUUAUAAUCCAUUGUUUUGUCGAGAUGCAAUAAAAAGAAAGUUCUUUCGCCAAUAUAUUAAAAUUUAAAGUUUAGAAUAAUAAGAAAAAUGCAGGAAUACCUAACAAGGCAUAAAUUUAAUAAAAUAAUAUGCAAUCAAAAUGUUUGUAAAAUUGAGUUUAAGAAUUAAAAUAAAUUGUUCAGGGGUCUAUUUACAAACCUUUGCAUAUUUUUCCCACUUUAAAGGGUUACGGACACGUGGCAGUUGAAAACAGCCAAACAACAAACAUUCGGAUAUCUCGAGACUUAAAUAACAAGUUACCCGACUCUUGCAAACAGAAGAUGCAAAUGGAUUCGGGUUAGUGGAGCUUCUGUUUAGAUCCGUUUUAAAUGGGCAAUCAAUAGAAACCAAUAUAUAUAUAUAUAUGAAGUGAAUGGUGAAAGAUUUUUUUUUCUUUAAAAUCGAUCCACUCCAAAUCCGACCGAAUCCAAUAAAAAGCGGAGCUGAAGAUGGAAACUCCUCCCGCCUCCAGAUCCGCCCCGUUUGCCGUCGAACCAGGGCCCAAUUUCAUAAUAACUUUGCUUACAAUGUAAUUAAUUUAUUAUAUAGAGUAAACUUACAAUGCUUUUAGGAUCCGACGAAUGUGUUCCUUUUUGCAUCAUUUCGAUGAUAGAACAUCUAAAUUCAUGAUUAAGAAAAUUAAAUAUAAUUUAAAUUAUUUAACUUUUAUACAAUAUAAAUUUUUAAAUUUUUAAAUAUUAUCUUUUUAGUAAUUAAAUAGUUUUAAAUUUAUCUUAGGAUCCAUUUGGCUCAGAAUUUGUAAUAUUACGAAAAUAUUUUAUAUUUUCUAUUAAAAAAAAUAUUUAAAUCAGUAUCAUUCAAUUCAAGUUGGAUAAUUGUAAAAAAUAUUAGUGAAAUAAUAAAAUUAUUUUAGACUUUUAGCCUAUAGAAUAUAUUUUUGAAAUACAACAAAUUUUGCAUCAAAUGGACUCUUAUAUUAAACAUAGUUAAUUUUAAGACCACUAGAAUACUAGACAGAUAAUGUCAAAAAAAUUAUAAAAAUUGAUAUAGAUCAAUUUAAUAGUGUUGUUCGUUAAUUCAGAAGCUUCGUCGCCCAAAGGCCGAUUAUAUUCAAUUCUAAAAUUUUAAAAUGAUGUACUUUAUAUUUGAAACUUUUUAAAUUGUUGCAAUAUAAGUCGUGUAGUUCAAUUCGGUUAAUGCAAUGACGAUGAGUCACUGAUGUGUCGGUGAUGUAAAAUUUUAAUUACUAAAUUUUAUACUGUAAUAUUUAUCUCUAAUAAAAGAGUACGAGAAAUACUAUUUGUACGCUUAAAAGUAGAAUAUAAAUUGACAACCAUCGAGCCAUUAAAGAGUUUCGAAAGUCCUUUAGAGAUUUUAAUAUCAAAAUAUUUGAUAGGACUGGUAAAAAAAAAUUGACAUUUGAAUGAAUAAGAUAUAAAAUUUAAAAACUUUUGCUCAUUUUCAAAUUUAUUCUAUAAUUAUCAAAAAAAUCUCCAUUAGUAAACCUAGAAAUUUGAGAAUAUUUGAAGGAAUUUGUAAGCAUCAAUAAGAAUAUUUUUAUGGACUAAAAAUAUAUUAAAUAUUUUUUAAAAUUUGGAGGGUAUAUUAGAUAUUAUAUUCAUAAAGUUUACAUACUCUUUUUUAUUUAGGUUAAUUUCAUUUGUAUCCUCACAAAACCUUUAAAUUUUAAAAUUUAACAAAUACCCUCUAAAUACAAUAUUUCUUUCAUAAAUACUCUUACUGUUAAUUUUUUCUAACUUUCCUCAAUUUAAAAUUUUUUUAUUUUACUUCAAAAUAUUAAAUUACCAUUUUGCCCUUAAUUUGUUUACUAUUUGUUUAAAGGGUUAAUUUCAUCCGUACCCCUCUAAAUUUCAGAAAUAUUAUAAAUGCUCCUAUGAAUUUUAUCAUAAUAUUACAAUUAUCCUUCUAAAUUCAUACUUUCUUUCAAAAAUGCUCUCACUGUUAUACUCCGUCUCUUCAAGUCAUAGUAAUCUUAGUUAAAUGGCAAUCUAACACUGGUUAAAAUUUGCAAUGUUAUUUUGCCCAUUAGUUGAGAAAUUUUUUAAGGGUAUAUUAAUUAUAUAAUUUAUUAUUUAAUAUCUAACAUUUUGUUCGUUAUUUGUUUAACAUCUAAACUAACACGCUGAUAUUCUUUAGUACUAUUUAGCUCCUAACCUUUGUUAAUUAUUUAUUUUAGUUAAUCAUAUUUAAAUUUUAUUUAACUUAGAUUUCUCUUUUAGCUAUUACUUAUUAUUUUUUUUUUAUUUUAACUUUUAGAAAGUAAUUAAAAUUAUUAAAUUUGUUGGAAUCAUCAAUGGAUUGAUAAAAUCUGUAAUUUAAUUGACAAAAAUCAAUCCAAUUUCAAGAAACCAAAUAUUAAGAAGACUUUGAUAAGAAAAAAAAAAAUUUAAUUAAUUAAGGGGCUAUUUCAUAAUAUAUAUAUAUAUAAUAGUUAAGAAAAUCUCUAUAUAUUAAUAUUAGAAAAUUUGUUAGGGUAUACAUGAAAAUGUAUGGAGGGUAAAUUCGGUGUUUUUGAAAAUGUUUAUGUUUUUUUUUUAAGGUAAAUAUAAAAUUUUAAAAAUUUUAAAAGGUAUUUACGUUCUUGUUUUUUAGUAGGGGUAUCCUAUCAAGUGGCAUUUGCUCGUAGUAAAUGGUUGAGGGGGUACACCACUGCAUUUUUCACUUUUACUCCUUUCUGAUUUUUUUUAAUUUUUUUUAAAAAAGAACCACCUUUUUCUCUUCUUUUUUUUUUUUUUUCNCGUCCCCUCCCCUCCCCUCCCCUUCUCACUCUUUCUCUCUCUCUCUUUCUAUUUAUAUCCGUCCCUAUCUUUCCUCCCCUCCUUAGCAGGCGCAGAGUUUUCCUUCUCACAAAAUUACAACAAGAAACAAAAAAGAAAAGAAAAUCUCUGUCCUGCUUUCUAUCUUUAUCCUCCUUCUCUUCCUCCUCCCCCAAUCUACUACUAUUCAUUCAUUCUCUCCUCUUCCUCAUUCAUUCAUUCAUUCAUCAUCCCACCACUUGAGUUAGUUAGUCAUAUUAUCAUGAGAAAUUAAAAGAAAAAUAAAUAUCUAUCUAUAUUAAAAAAAGAGAUAGAGAUAGAGAUAGAGAUAGAGAUAGAGAUAGAGAGAUAUAGAGAUAGAGAGAUAGAGGGAUAGGGAUAGGGAGAGUGAUACCGAAAGAAGAAAGAGGGAGGAAAUCGUCGUCGUCGUCGUCGGAGAUGCGGGCGGUGAAGAUGGGCGGGGAGGCGGCGGAGGAGGAGGGGUUUCCGUCGACGCCGGGGAAGGUGAAGAUGGAGCGCGGGGGGCCCGGGCAGUACAACCGGCAGCUGCAGCGGUGCUUCGCGUCGACGAGCAGCCUGUUCCUGUGGGCGCUGUUCCUGGUGGCGCUGACGGCCUCGUACCUGAGCUUCCAGAGCUUCGUGGACACGUCGUCCCGCUACCUGUCGGCCUCCUGGGGCGGCCUCCACUGGGAGCGCCGCCUGCGCGCCUCCGCCCGCCCGCGCCGGCCCGACGGGCUCUGCGUGCUCGUCACCGGCGCCGCGGGCUUCGUGGGGUCGCACGCGUCCCUCGCCCUCCGCCGCCGCGGCGACGGCGUCCUCGGCCUCGACAACUUCAACCCCUACUACGACCCCUCCCUCAAGCGCGCGCGCCAGUCCCUCCUGGCCUCGCACGGCGUCUUCGUCGUGGAGGGCGACCUCAACGACGCCCCGCUCCUCGCCCGCCUCUUCGCCGCCGCGCCCUUCACCCACGUCCUCCACCUCGCCGCCCAGGCCGGCGUCCGCUACGCGCUCGAGAACCCGGCCUCCUACGUCCGCUCCAACGUCGCCGGCCUCGUCGCGCUCCUCGAGGCCUGCCGCGCCGCCGACCCCCAGCCCGCCGUCGUCUGGGCCUCGUCGUCCUCCGUCUACGGCCUCAACGACAAGGUCCCCUUCUCCGAGUCCGACCCCACCGACCGCCCCGCCUCGCUCUACGCCGCCACCAAGAAGGCCGGCGAGGAGAUCACCCACGCCUACAACCACAUCUACGGCCUCUCCGUCACCGGCCUCCGCUUCUUCACCGUCUACGGGCCCUGGGGCCGCCCCGACAUGGCCUACUUCGCCUUCGCGCGCGCCAUCCUGCAGGGCAAGCCCAUCACCGUCUACCGCGGCCGCGACGGCGUCGACCUCGCGCGCGACUUCACCUACAUCGACGACGUCGUGCGCGGCUGCGUCGCCUCGCUCGACACCGCGCGGCCGAGCACGGGGGGCCGCGCGGGGCGGAAGCGCGGGGAGGCGCAGUACCGGAUCUACAACCUGGGCAACAGCGCCGGUGACGGUGCCGCGGCUCGUCUACCUGCUGGAGAAGCACCUCGGGGUGCGCGCGCGGCGCAACGUCGUCGAGAUGCCCGGCAACGGCGACGUCCCCUUCACCCACGCCAACAUCUCCCUCGCCCGCGCCGAGCUCGGCUACAAGCCCACCACCAAUCUCGACGCCGGCCUCAAGAAGUUCGUCAAAUGGUACCUCUCCUACUACGGGUGCGUUCGUUUAAGUCGACUAAUUGACUCGGCACGUGUUUGGCUCGGACCACCCAAAAGUGUAAUAAUCAUCCCCAUCACCAUCACCAUCACCAUUCAUCACCAUUCAUCAUCAUAUUUUUCAAUUUUAUUUUCCCAUUUUUUACUUCACUUUUUAAUCUCGCCUCUUCUCCUUCCUCUUCUUCUUCUUCUUUUUCUUUGUAUUUUUGAAGUAGGAAUUUUUUUUUUUGGUAAUUAUUAUUAUUAUUAUUAUUAUUAUUAUUAUUAUCGGAUAAAUUUUUUUUGGGGAAAAGAAAAAAAAAAUUAUAUGAGAAAUUCGUUUCUUCGAGAAGAGGAGAAGCGGCGGAGGAGAGGAGGAGGAGGAGGAGGAGCGCACUCAAUAUGUUGUGCCUUUUGUUUUUUUCUUUUUUUUUGUUUAAUUAACUAUUUUAUUUUAUUUUUAUUUUUAUUUUAUUAAUUUUUAUCAUCAUCCUGUAAAGCGACUGUGAAUGAAUUAUUUCCCGGAUCUCGGGUUCUAAUUGGACGGCGGAGAUUGAUUCACUUGUUUUUUUUUUUGGAUUGAUGUGUUUGUUUGUUANGACCGUCCAUUUGGCUCCGCUCCUUUACUUUCCCGCCCCCAACAAUGUAUAUCGGCGAUGAGGUGUGAUAUUAAUAAAUAAUAAAUAAAAAUAAUAAUAAUAAUAAUAGUAGUACCGCGGUGGGGCCCACGUCGAGAAAGGUGGACGGUUCGAUUAGCGUGCCGAACCCAUGUGGACAGCAUGAUCUUGUUUGGAAUAUUCGGGAAAAAAAAAAGGUUAAAAAAAAAAAAAAGGAAAUGGAGUGUGAACGUUGGAGAGUCGGUGAGCUGUAAAUUUUGAGCGCUCGAUCAACAAAAAAAGAAUGAGGUGUGUUUGUGUGGUUAUGUAAUGUAACUUCUUUUUAAAUUAAGGGUUAAUUUCAUUUAGGUCCCUACAAAUAUAGUAAAUUAUAAUAAUAUUUUUAUAAAGUUUAAUUUUUUUUUAUUAUAUAUAUUGUUUCUGUAAAAAUUUUAAUAUUUUCAAAUAUGUUUCUGCCGUUAGAAAAAUUUAGUUAAUCAUAGGAUAAAUACUUAAUCCUGAUUAGUUUAUAAGAUAACUUGAUAUUUUUUAUCUCUCUUAUAUUGUACUAUCGUGACUUUUGGACGGAUAUAUUUAUGAUGACGUAAUUGAUAUUUUAUUUAAAAUAUAAACAGUUUUAUAACAGUAACAAAGCAGAAUGAUAUUUGAAAAUAUUAAAAUUUUUAUAGAGACAAAAUAUGAAAGUUGAAUUUUAUAGGAAUAUACUUGUAAUUUAUUAUAUUUGCAGAAGCCUGUAUGCAUUCAACUCUUAAAUUAAAUAGGAAAGAAAAAAAAAGUAAAUCUCUCAUUUAGUUCAAAACUACAAUUUAUCCAUUAGGAAUGUUAGUGGGUACGGAUGCUCAUAAUUUUAUCCGAACCCUGUCCUAAACGGGGCGGGUUGAAUUGGUGCUAAACUGAAAUAAUUUCAAUCAUAGGUUAAAAAAAAACAAUAACAACGAAACGAAUUCGGAUUCGGAUUCGGUUAUAGUUUUUGCGCAAAAUUUGAAAUCAAAAUCAUAUAAAAGGUAUAGAAUACAGUUUUCUAAAUACUUAUUUUAAUAACUAUAAAUUUUAAUUUAACAUUUACUGACCCAUUAAUUUUCCUACUAUUGAUUAAAACAUUAAAAAAGGUCAAAACAGUAUUUUAAAAUUUUAACCAAAUUUCAAAUAGACCAUAACUAGCGUAGGGUAUUUGUGAUAAAUUUUAAUAUUUUGAAGGGCAUUCGUAACAUUAUCUAUUUUAAAAGAAUAUUGAUAAAAUUAAUAGUUUCUAGAAGGGUAUUCAUAAAAUUAUUCCAUUUAUAUUUGAUUUACCAUAAUGUUUAUAAUAAUAGUAUUUGUUGUAUAAUAUUAUAUGAGGUCACUCUCUAUUAUUUUAUUAUUUAUAAUUAAAUGAAGUUUACAAUACCCUAAUCAAGUAAAAAUACUUUAUAUUUGUGUUUACUUUCAUAAUUAUAAUUACACUUUUGACCCCUAAAUUUUAAACACAUAACACUUCAGUAUUCAAAGGGUAAUAAUUUGUCAUAAAUUUUAGGAAAAACUUCAAAAAAAAACCCGUGGUUUAAAAUGUAUCAAUUUGCCCCCCUGUGGUUUCUUUUUUCUCUUUUUCUUAUUAAUUUCAUUAUUUUUUUUUCUUAAAUCAGCGAUAAAGUUAAAAUUAAAGGGUACUAAGUGAAUAUUUGAUAAAUCUAGAUGGGUAUUUGAAGUUUUUUGUAUAUAAUUUAAUGAAAUAUUAACGAAAAAGCUAUCGAAAAGAUAAAAACGAAACCACAGGGGGCAAUUUGAUACAUUUUAAACCACAGGGGGGUUUUUAAAGUUUUUCCUAAAUUUUAAAUUUCAACAACUUAGAUUAUUAUAAUUAAGUCUAAUUUAAUUAACUAAAUACUGAUCCGUCCCUCUUGUCGCCAUAGUAAUAUGUUAUUUUAUUCAAUAUCUCAUUACUGAUCAAAAUACUUUAGCCUCACUACUUGCUUAAUAGCAAAAAUAUAAAAGAUUUGAGCUAGACAUUAUAACAAAUUAAAAUUUAAAAAUUAAAAUAUUAUGCGCUUAAAAUUUGAGAACUAAAUAUGAAAUUUAUUCUAAAAUUUUAAUUAAAUUUAUUAUUAUUAUUAUUAGGAUAAACUUCAAAUAUCAUUCAUGUGGUUUGCACUUUCUUACUUUAGUACCCUAUGGUUUAAAGUGUAUCGAUUUGGUACCCUAAAGUUUUAUUUUUUUCUUUUCGUCAGCUCCUCUAUUAACAUUUCGUUAAAUUAUAUACAAAAAACUUCAGAUACCCCAGUUAGCUUUAUCGAAUAUUUGUUAUUGAUUUAAUAAAAAAAAUUAAUAGAGAAAAUAAUAAAAAAAAUAAAAUAAAAUUACAUAAUACUAAAUUGAUAUAGUUUAAACCAUAAAGUAUUAAAAUAAAAAAAUAUGAAAUUACAGUAAUGAUAUUUAAAGUUUUUAUUAUUAUUAUUAUUAUUAUUUUGGGUGUAAUACGUGCUUUGUAAUUUGGAUUGUACGGAUGGAGAAACAAAUACUUUUGUCGGAAGGAAAGUGCUUUACUUGCUUCGGAUGCAACAUCCUAUAUUCCAUCAAUGAUGAUAAUCAUGGAUUUUUGCCCGAGUAAUGGACGGUGGAGAUUGUGCCACGUGGCAAAGUUUUUAUGUGAAGCACUAGUAAUGGAAAGUUCAACUUUAAAGCUAAGAAAAGAAAGUAAUAUUUUUUGGGCAAACUUCAAACGCCACCUCUGUGAUUUCGCACUUUCUAACUUUUAAUCUGUGAUUUAAAGUGUAUCAAGUUAGUGUUCUAUAAUUUUAUUUUAUCUUUUCGUAAACUUCUCCGUUAAUAUUUUUUAAAAUUAUAUAUAAAAAAUUUCAGAUAGUCAAUCUAGAUUUAUUGAAUAUUCACUUUAUUAUCUUUUAUUUUUAACUUUGUCACUGUUUUAACAAAAAAAAUUAGUAAAAUCAAUAAUAAAAAGAUAAAAAUAAAACUGCGGGAAACUAACUUGAUACAUUAAUUUAAAUCACGAACGGUAUUUAAAGUUUACCAAAAAAAUUAUAAAUCUUUAAAUAGUGGGUGAAUUUUUUUUUUUUUAUUAUAGAGGAGUUGAGCUAGUAUGCUAUUGGGAGUGUAUAAGUAGUAAUUAUUAUUAAUUUUUUUAUUGUUAAAUUAUUAUUAUUAUUCUAUCAGUUUUUAUUAAAUUUUAGACGUUUAUUAAUGGUAAAAAAAAAAUUGAUAGUAAUAUAGUGCAAAAGUUAAUGUCUAAUAUAAUAUAAUAAGCAUUAAAAGAUGAGGAUAAAGAGUAAGUCCUUUUGUACUGAGUUGGGUGAUAUUAUUGUGUGGGACCCACCAAAGCCCCAGAAAAAAAAAAAAAAAAAGGGAAAAAAAAUAGAAGGGAAAGAAUUAAAAAAGGGUGGGUAGGGGACUAGAGGUGAUGAACAAGUUGUAGUGUGCCAACUAUAAAGAGGGGGUAUGGGUUGGCAAGGGUUGUGUGAGUGUGUAGUAAUUGGUAAAAGAUGAUGACACUAAUAAUGGAAGAGAAUGGGGCAUAUCUUGGCUUUUAAUGGUAAUAAUAAUAUUAAUAAUAAUGAUAAUGUGAUGGAUCCAUGUACUCAUGUGUAAUUUCUAUAGAGAGAGAGAGAGAGAGAGAGAGAGAGAGAGAUGAUGCAUGUGACAUUAAUGGCCAUAAAAUUAUUUGCAAGAGAGAAAGAAAGAGAGAGGAUGCAUGCAUGUGAUAUGAAGGCCAUAUACAUAUAGAGAGAGAGAGAGUAUGGCUAUUAUACUUUUAUGAGUAUUAGGUCAUUCGUAUUUAUAGGUUGUUUUGAAUAAUGAAGUUUUCGAAUCGACGAUUCACUCCAUUAAAUAUAGUAUAGAGUAUUUGAAAUUUUUAAAAAAUAAAUUUCAUAAUUUUUCGAAAUCAUAAUAAAAUCUAUCAAGCGGAUAUAAAUUGAACGUUCAAAAUCAAACGACGUCCUAAAAAUGAAUGAUCGGAUCCUGUCAAUUUUGUAACCUUUUGAUCGUAAGGUAAAUGAUGCAGAAGAAUGAUGAAAUUUGAUUUCUAAAAAUUUUAAAUGCUCUAGAUAACGUUUAACGGUAUAGAUCAUUGAUUUGUAAGCUCUAUCAUCGAAAAUAAUUUAUGAGUACGAAGGCAAUCGUACUCAUAAAAGUAUAAUAGCCAGACUGACUCUCUCUCUCUCUCUCUCUCUCUCUCUCUCUCUGUCUAUAUAUAUAUAUAUAUAUAAUAGAGCUACUAUGCUAUUGAAAGUAUAGAGAAUCUGAUACUUCCGACUUUUUGGCUCUUAGAUUAGCCUCUUUAAUUAUUUCCAAUUUUUGAAUUAAUACUAUUACCCUGUGGUGUAUGGAUACUACUAUACCUUAAGGGGACCACAAUCAUCCUAACCGUACAAUUUUUUAUUCAAGGGUUAAAAAAUCGAAAACAUCAAAUUCUAUAUACUUUCAAUAAUAUAGUAACUCUACACUAUAUAUAUAUAUAUAUAAAUAUAUAUAUAUAUAUAUAUAUAUAUAUAUAAUAUAUAUAUAUAUAUAUAUAUGAGUCUGGUGGGUACUAUCGAUAACACCAAGGAUUUGGUGCUAAUCGAGUUUUCCACUGUAGAUUUAACUCUUUGAUUAUUUUUACCCGUUAGAUUAUACUAUUCAACUAACCACUCACUCAACCCUAGGUGCCCACAUUAUCCUAACCACUUAUUUCUCAAUUCAAGGGCUAAAAAAUCAAUAGCACCAAUAACUUGGUGCUAUUGAUAGUAAUCCAGCCUAGUUCUAUAUAUAUAUAUAUAUACACACACACACACAUAAGAAAUAUUAUGGGUACCACAAUUGAUUUAGAAUUUUAUUGUUGACAUCUAAGAUACUAAAUUAGAAAUCUAACUAUUUUAUAUUUAUAAUUGAGUUUAUUUCUUAAAAUUAAGGGAAGCGACUGAAAAAAAAGAAAGAAAGCUUAAUUUUUGUCAAAUAUGAAUAUUUUAUUUUAUUUUAUUUCAAAUUAUAUUCAGAGAUGACCGUUUACAAGUAAUAAGAGGCUUGGUAAGAUUCGAACUUAUAAACUCUCGUACUUUAAUAUCAUUUGGAAUAAUUCACUGAUUAAUUAUAUAAAAAUAAUCUUGCACACAAGAAGCUUUCUUUCUGGUCUUCUUUUGAUGGAUUUUUUCAAUCUGUAUCCACUGAUUAAUUAUAUAAAAAUUGCCUCAGGGCGUGUUUUUCCUCAAUAUAUAUAUAUAUAUAUAUAUAUAUAUACACACCGUAUCAUUUUAAUUAUUUUAUGUUCAACAGUUGACCGUAUAGUUAGAUUAGAAGUACGUAUGUCAACACCAGUUUUUAGUUGGAGGGCAAUUAAUUAGCAUCAUUAAAUUUUGUUAGAUUGAAAACUUGGGAAAUUGUAUUACGGAAAAGAAAAUUAAAAAAACAGUUGAGAAACCAGUACAAAAUGAAUUUAGACAUACUAGUUUAAGUUGGUACAAGACAAAAAUAAUAAUAAUAAUAAUAAUAAUAAUAAUAAAAUCCCUAAGAAACAAUAAUUCGAAAAUUUAGAUAAGUUUCAAACAAACAGUUAAUAAAUUAAAAUAAGAGAUAAGAUCAAUGGGAGAUAAACCAAAUGAUCCGCUACAUAAGCAAGGAACUAUCUGGUAUUUUGCAUGAGAUCUCUAAAAACAAAUAUAGAACAUCAAUUUUUUUAUUUUUUCAGAAUAAGAUAAGUUAUAUUUUAAAUAAAAUACAACAUUUUCAAGAAUCAUCAUAAAGUGUUAUUGUUUGGUCACUCUACAUAACCAAAAAUGUGAUGGAUAAUGUGUAGAUUGUUUUAUUUAGCUUAUCAAUAUAACAAAUCCUGCUAAUGUAUAUUACUAGACUCAUUUCAAUUUUUUCAAUAAUAUGGUAUCAGAGUUAAUUCUAAACCUUCUUGUUUUGUAAGAUCCUAAGUUCAAUUCUCACCUUAGACAUUUAAUUGAUUAAAAGACGAAGAUCGUAAGUUCAAUUCCCACUUUUGACGUGUAAUUGAUUAAAUUUUUGUAGUUAUAUAAUGCUUUGAAUCCCAACCUCUUCCCUCAUAACUUUUGAGUGUAGUUGUUUUUUUUUUUUUUUUUUUUUUUUUUUUUUGGAGAAAUAAGUACAUUCUAUCCGUUUCGUUUAUUUCAUUUAAAAUUAAACUUAGCUGGAAAUGUGAAUCGAUCAGAAUUCGAACUUAGGACCUCGGGUACCAACCAUCAAGCCCUUUGCCACUUUUGAAUGUAGUUAUUAAUACAUACUCCAGGGCUCAGUUCAUCUUUUCGGUAACAUAAUCCAACCUAGUAUAAUAUGAUAUUAUCUAAUAAUAAUGAUAAUCAAAAUCCCUCAAAAAGGAAUAAAAAUAGCCAAACAAAUUGGCACCAAAAGAGAUACCGCACUCGUCACACUAAAUAUGUGGAGAGUUUGGUUGUUUAUGCUCAUAGGAAGUAAUAAUACACUUAUGCACACACUAUAAAUUAAGAUGAUUUUUUUUUCAUCAAAAGAUUUUGUACCUUCAUAAUUAACGCGACAACUCAACUAAGAAGCAUGCACUUCGGAUCGAAUAUAUCUGGUUCAUUACGAUCUAAUAAAAGUAUAUACUACGUGUGGUAUAUACUUUUGCGUUUUGAGUACGUGUCCAAGAAAUGGGCAGAGGUAAUUGUUGAUUACAAGAUUUUUAAUUCUGGAUUGAGUGGUGACAAAAUUUUACAGAAAAGUAAAGUUGUAUAUGUGGGUAUAACUAACCUAAUACAAACCUUGAUGAUCUGUAUACAGUGGCAUAUUAGAUUCACAGCUUUUUGCUAUUUACCACAUUAUUGGAUGCAUUUAAAUCCUUAGCCAUUUUUUAAAGUUAAAACUGUAAAGAAAAAAAAAUCCAAAAAAUCCUGUAAAAGUAACUAUUUUUGUUUACUAAUUACCACAUUACAGGUACUUCCUACGUUGGAUAUUUGUAAAUCCUGGACCGUUUUGAAGGCUAUAUAUAUAUAUAUAUAUUAGAGAGUUCGAAAAUUAAAAAAACAUUAAAAUUCCGUUGCCGGGACUUGAACCCGGGUCUCUCGGGUGAGAGCCGAGUAUCCUAACCAACUAGACUACAACGGAUUUCAUAAAAAUGCCACGGAUAAACUUUAUAUAUACAUUUUAAUUUAAAAAGGUGAAAUGAAUACGAUUGGAGCAGAUUUGCUGACUUCGCGAGACGCUGAGAUGCAACAAAACCGCACACAACCUCUUCUUCCUGGAAAUUAUUGUAAAAAAAUUACUCCAAAAGGCAACAAUAUUUCAGCUAUUUGAAGCACUUUGAUAGCAACUCGCAAGAGUGAGUGAUUCAUCCGUUUAGUCAAUUAGGAGUUCUUCUUUAGCGAACACAAAUUUUGAUGGAACUACAAUCUAAACCUAACCAAACAAAAUCUAUACAAAACUAAAAACGAACCCAACUGAAAUAAUUCGGCAGACAUUAUGCUCAAACUUCACCGGAGAAGAAAAAUGAGACCAGCUACAUAGAAAAGAAAUAGAUAAAUAAAAAGAAUAAGUUUAAAGUAACUGGGUGCAAAACAAAAUCACAAAACACAAACAUAAGAAGACAAUUAGUGUUUACUCAAAAAAAAAAAAAAAAAAAAAAAAGAUCACAAAUGGUAGAUAUAUUUCUGUAAGCACGAGAAUUUGGUGAAAAGAGGAAGUACACGAUAGAACUGGACAUUCAAUAAAAAGCAGUUGCCUGAUUCACAACAUUCGCGACAAUUAGAUAUAAGUUGAAUCAGUGAGCAUCCAGUAGAACAAACCUUUAAAAGGCCAGUAAACGAGAGAUUUCGAUACCGAAGAUAGGUGGUAAUCAUGUAGUAGUGUAACAGUAAUCACACUACAACUUCUAUUUUUGAUUCCCCUGCAGGGUAAGGAUAUAAAAUAUCACAAUUUUUAUGGAACUGACACGAGAAUGGCCUAAUCUGGAACAAUAUGAAAGGAAAAUGUUAGCUUUUUCAUCCUAACACAUUUGAGCCAAUGUGAAUGCAUCCUCACUUACCAUCAAAUCCUUUAAUCUCUUGAAUGAAUCAUGUACACAGCAGCUGCCUUUCCAAACAAGCAGCUGCUCUUCUAUGCAUGGUGUAAAAAAUGCUUAUUUUCAGCACCCCUCGACCCCCGUCUCUGCCAAUAGAGAGGCAAAAAGAAUCACACUUCUAUUUUCCUCGAUGAUGACGUUGAUUGUUGAAUUUGACUUGCCGGAGUAUCGGUCAUUCAUUUUCUCAUGGAGAUUAAACCAAAAUUAACAUGGCUUUUCAGGAAAAAGGACAGAAGAAGCUAAUGUGGCUUAAACAAGGUUGACGGAACCUACAAAAAAUCACAAAGUAAAACAAAGAGAGGUUUCAGUAAAUGCUUGCUUGAAAUUGAAGAUCUAGAGCAAAAUCUCAAAAAACAAAAGUUUAUCUGAAACGAGUGAAUCAAAAUUUGUUACCUUGACAUGAUGCGGCAUGAUCUUUAUAUCACAAGGCACAUGAAGCCAUGCAUCGGGAGUAUAUAACAUGAAAUUCUCGGGCUUGCUAGUAUAGACAUCUGCAUAUUGAUGAAUAUGAUAGGCAAAUGCCGAUUCCUGACCAGUGUCUGUGAGGAAGGUUGCACCGAAAGAGCUAUUGAAUAGGCUCCGCAUUAUAUCCCGGCAGUGCCGCCUGUGCAUAUUCAGAUCAUCCAUCAGCUUUUUGUACGCUUGUCCUCUCUCUGUGCUGACUACCGUAGCAUGAACUUUCCCAAGCAAUUCUUGAAUUAUAUGAAAUUGAGCCUGCAAUCCAGGACACAAUCAAGACAUCUAAAAAUGGUGCCUCGAGUUAUAUGCAUGACUAACUAAAGGUGUAGAAGAGAGUUAACAAACUACAAAAAGUUCUUGAUUCUGAUUGGUUCCAUGAUCGUAAGUUUUUAGAAGAUUAUCGAUUUUAUAGAUGCAAGUCGAAUCUAGCCUGGAAUUAGUUUUGAGUCACACUUUUCAGGGGGGUAGACCUCAUCAAGCUUAGAUUCAUCUAUAUGCCUAACUUAACUGUUAGGGUGAGCAUACACCUAAACAGUACCUAUAAUCCGUACUCGAUUUGGGUCCAUGCACUCAUCUGAGCGUGGGGUUCACAUACAGGUGUGUCAGAAGUUACCAAAUUCAGAACCAGAUCAACAGUACCUGUGGUUUUAAAAUCUUUAUACUCUUCCCUGGCCUGUGCAUAAUGAAAGACUUGGACAGGUCAAAGUUGCGAUUCAAUAUUUGGGGUCAAGUACUAGUUUGAACCAAUGAGAGUCAAUGACAAGCAUAGCUGCAUUUAUUUUAUGAUAAGAUAUUGGAUCCAUUAUGCAUUAAAAUACAAGGCAUUAAAGGAAAAUAAACAACCAAAUCCAGGAUAACCGCAAUCUCAACCUACAAUCAAUGAAUAAGUACAUGCCACAAAUAGUAAACGUUGAAAUUUUGCAGAAUAAAGUUACAAAUAAACAUCUUUUUUAAGCCUCAGCAGACACUUUGAAUACUAUGAACUACUACCCAACCUAGACAUGGAAAGAUGAAAGAAAUAAUAAUUGAUCAAUGAAGUUUGUGCCCAUGGAGAACUGACAUGUUUCAUGGAUGACAAAGGGCAUUCAGUUUCAGAACAUAGUACAACUAAUUUACAGAUAUAGUUUGAAUCUUGCACGACAGUCAAUAAUGGCCCUGUAUACAACUAAAGGGUUCGAUCGGAAAUAAAAGAAAACCAGUGAUUUUCUCCCAUCCUCAUGUACCAAUGGUGAUCCAGAAAUUGCUUUUGUGAAUUACGUAAAUAUGAAGUUCAAAGAGGACAAGGCAACACUGCUAUAGACAUGAGCCAUGAGUGAAAACUACACUUGAAAAUAAAGCACAAAGAGACCUUAUAGUCCAAAGAUAGUACACCUAGUUAAUGCAGAAAUUAAAACUAGUCAUUCAAGAUAUGAAGAGUGAAGUGCCAGCAUAAUAGUCAACAUUUCUACCUGUUUCGUUCGAUAUCUCUCAUCAUUCUGGAUCUGUAUUUCAUUCUGCACAGAUAAAGAGAAUAUUCAGAAGAAGUUAACAUUUUUAUAAGAAUAAUGGAUUUGACAAUAAAUCUAGCAAUCAAUGUCAACAAAGUACUAUUUAAUAGCAUAAUCACUGGAAACUUAGACCAUCAAAACCAACAUGCUUUUAGUAUCACCAGUCACUCCCCCCUGUAUGUGUACGGACCUCUAAGUACCAAAUUAAUCACAGACAAAAAUUAACCAUGGCCUCUACACAUAUUGCAUGAAUAAUAACAAAGGCAUGUUACCAAUGAAUGAUAACUUACUUCAGUAUCUACCUUUUGCACAGAAAAAGAAAAUCUCAUCAAAUCUGCAGAAAAUCCAACCUAAAGUAGGAAGGCAUAAUCUUCUAUUUGGAUCAAUAUAAAUGGACCGCUAAAUAUGGAUCUCUUACUGUCUCUAUAAUCUAGAUCGAAAUGAGUCACUAGAGAGAUAAAGAUGGAAUGAAAAUUGAAAAAUAUUUUGGAUCUUAAUCUUUGAUAGAUUUAGAGGGAUUCGAAAGGUCAAGUCCGAGAUUGUUCAGCCAACUUUGUUUGCGAUAGUGAAAUAAAUCAAGCUCUGAAGGAAAGAGAAGGAGGAUAAUUUUGAAACAAAAUAUAACCUCCUAACAAGCUCUUUUAUAUAAAUAUGGAUAUACCAAUAGAUACUACUGUAGAUAAACAGUCUCUCAUAAAGUAUUACUGAAUCAAAAGAAGAAAAAGAGCAAACCUCAAGUUCAUGAAUAAUGGCGGCUGUUCGCCAACCAGCUUUUGAAGGUCCUCUGAGGUCACUAAACAAAUGAUCACCAAAGUAUAUCACCUAAGACAGGUUAAAAAAAGUCUUUUAGGUGCAUGUAUGAGAGGAUAGAUCAGAACAAAAGCAAACUAAAAGCAACCCCAAGGAACGCCAAUCAUGCCAAUCAUGCUAAGUUUCCUGCGUACCCCUUUGCAGACAUAUUCCUCUUUUUUUUUUUGAAGUUAAAAGAGUUGAUGUUUCGCUUUCUAGCUUAUGCACUUGGAUGAACAAUCCUGAAUUUUUUGGCAAAUAAUCAUUGAAGAUAAAUAUCUUCGGAUGCCAUGCCUUAGGUAUUAAUGUUAUUUAUUAAUUGGAGGCUUGACAUUUCCAUUUACCAACAUCUAGUAACAGUGGGAUUUGUCAAUAUAACUGUCUUUUGUGUUUAACAAGGGAGCACACCUGGGGAAUGGUUUGCCAGCAACAAAUUUUACUGGAGAUAACAAUAUGGUAUGUCUGUUCCAACAAUACUAAAAAGAUGGUCCGAUUAUUUUUCAUGCACCGCAUUAUCUCACAGCCAGUUUCAGCGAACUUGUGCUUCGCAUCAAGUGUAUAAGAAAAGCAAAAACUUGAGGUUCAAGUGCCAAGAAGUCCUUCUAAUACCAAUUGUUAUCCUGUUUGCAAUUAUUAACUAUAUUUAGGACAUGUUUGGUUCAUGAUUGGAAUAGGAAUGGAAAAUGAAAUUGGAUUGCUUCAGAAUGGGAAAUGGAAUGACGAAUCAUCCAAAAAUGUUUGGUUCAUUAUUGGAAUGGAAAUCGGAAUAAAAAUCUAGAAUUUUUGAGAGAGGGUUUUAAUUAAGAGAGAGGGAAGUGAUGAAUGGAGAGGAUGGGAAGUGUUGGUGAAAGAGGAUUUUGAGUAGUUUACUUUGUAAUGGGCCAAUCCGGGAUUCAAAGCCGGAUUGGACCAUAAAUGGAUUUAGCCAUUGAAUGGGAAUCCGAUUCCUAGAAAACAAACAACAACUAUCGGAAUCAAUGAAUCUCAUUCCGAUUCCAUAGUCUAAAAUAGCUGAACCAAACAUGCCCUUAGUGAAAGCCUGCCUUUGACACAAACAACUUCACAGGAUAAAGAAAACUUUCCUACUGACAUCUUUAUGACAGUAUGCUAAAAACUAAGCUUCAGAUAGGGCCUGGGGUUCUAACAAUUUGAAGGAUGACUGCUGAUGGUCAGCAUUAUAUAUAUCACUGUAGUAUGACUGGUGUAAACUAUCAGCAUUAUAAAUAGCUGUAAUAUGCCAAAAUAAACAAGAUCACCAGGUGGCAACUUCUCUAUCAGCACUAAAGGGGGAAGAGAAAAGAGGUUUAGAACAAAUAACUAUUCAAUAAGGCUGUGAUGGCAUAUUAGAGUAAUUUUUACAUUAAAGUGUGUGUAUAUAAUGACAUAGCAUUUGAUUAAGCGUUUAGGUCAACAUAUUGAAAUUUAUUCCCACCAAUAACAUCACAAGAUCAUCUUCUAAGGGCAGAUAAGAAGGAAACAGACGAAAUUUGCUGGCUAAGAGACAACACCAGAUGAAGCAAUUAAGAUUCUUUUCUACUAGACUAAGAAGAAACUCUCGAAUGCACAAAUUAAUCAAAACUCCACUUGAAAAUUAUCAAUAGACAUAUUCUAAGCUUAUUUGUUGUUUCGAAUUUGCUUCAUCAAAAUUAUUAUGGCACGCAAAAGGAAGAUUGAAUAUCCAGUAUAUGGAAAAUAAAUGUCAUUAAAAAUUGGCAAAAUUUGUUCACUGCAAGCAUAAAAUCUGGGCAAUAAUCAGUUAAGAGAGUGGCAGUCAACCAACAGGAAGGAAUAAAAGACGAAAUAAUAUGUUAGGUGAACAACUAUAAUAAACACAAGUCAAAGUUAUUGUAUUAGCUUUGCAAACCUCUGGGCCUUUCCACUUUGUGAUCUGUAGAAAUGAUUUGAGGCAACCAUGGUAAUACACUUCAUUCGGGAGAAACCUACUAACUGCAGUGAAAGCUAGAGUAUCCCUCUCAAUAUCAUAAGACCUACAGGAAUUCACCGAGAAGGUUAAAUUCAAUAUGGCACAUUCGAACAAGUAUAAAAGUCGAGGGAUUCAAAUUACUGAUGCUUAUUUUCCAACAGGAUAUGGAUGCAAAAUCAUUAUUCUUGUACUUUCUCCUAUUAUAUUAGCAGUUGCUGCUUGAGAAAAUUUAAAAAAACAACAAAGUAAAAGAAAGUACAGGUCAUAUCUCCACCGCCGUAUGGUCCCUGUGGCAAUAGUAAUCACAGAAAAGAUACAAACUAUCAAACUAGAGUUUCCUUCUAGCAACAAUUUAUGGUUCAACAGAUACAUAAAGAAAUACAGAGAAAGACCCAAAAUAAAAUAAAAUAAAAGGAAUAAGCAUGUAAAAAGUUUCAAAAGUACAACCUGAAUGGGUGCUCUGAAGUAUAGAAACUUGGCUUAUUAGCUUGAGCAAUGACAACAUCAAAAAGCUCCCUCCAGGAUCUUCCAUCCCUGUAGUCCUGUUCAACCAAUUGGUCAAUAAUCAAUAGGAGCAAUUUGCAGCAUAGAAUGGAUAAUUGAAACAAUAGUAAUAUAUAUUUUUCCUAACUCUGAGAAAUUGUUCAUAGAUAUAUAUUUUGAAGAAAAUACAUCAUGGUCUUAUUCUUGGAAAUUACAUAUGGAUUGACAAACAAAUAUAGAUUUAAACACUGUCAAACAUUGCUUAUUUUCUUUAAAACAGAAAUAAUCCAUAUUACGUUAGCCAGAAAUUUGCCAGUUAUUUAAUAUAAACUUGAUAAAGACAAACUUCCGCUAAAAUAAACUUCAGAAGAACAUAAUAAAUGCCUUUGGUGUUUCUCUUUGUUUAGGGAACUGGGAUUAAGCAAUAACUGCAACAAAGCAUUGACAUAUUCGGGAUUUAGCAUAUGUGCUUAGAAGGAUUAUUCAAAGAAACAGAUACACUCUGCUCCAUUCUCGAGUUCCAUGCUCAUAUUGGAUAGGGUAUGGAAACUAGCAUGUGCAAUCAAAAGAUGUUAUAAAAUAAAUAUAGCAACACACAAUGGAGAUCAUGUUGGUGUUGGGCUCCUAGAGUUAUAUUGCCUAAAACAGCUGAAAAACCAAAACACAAGAAUGCAGAGAAAUUUUACAACUUAAUAUGUAUUAUGAGAUCAAUAUUCAACGGGCAGACAUUCCAAUGAUAAGAACAUCUUUUACAAUCCUUAAAACUUCAGAAUUUAGAUACUGAGAAAUUAUAUAAAUUAGUUAACCAUAGUUCCCAAAUUUACACUAAGUUUCUAAAAUUAAAAGUUAAGAAGCCUCUAUUGUGCAUCCAGGUAAAUAGGUCAUAGUGGAUUAAAACUAAACAGAUACCAGUUUAUUUGUGAUACCAUUCUAGAUAAUCUGUGGCUUAUAUAAAUCAGGUUCAUGUAUGUUGAAAGCAUGCACCCCGCUAGGGUUUUCAUUAGUUUUUAUAAACAAUGUAUAAGAAUAGUCAUGUAACAGUCAUGUGACUUACUAAACAAAUAACAUAUAAAAUGUAUACAAGAAAUAUACUCUUAACAUAUGUAAGAACUGCAAAAAAAAUGUACACUAGCAUACAUAUAUAUAAUUAUAUCUAACACAUCGUAUUUACAGUAAUGAGGAAACUACUAUGUCACAUUCCACGGCCAACGGACAUUAGAGCACAAAAAGAUGCACUGAAUCAAAAUCGACCGGAUCAUGCAGAGGGAAAGCAAGUAAAUAAUAAAUAUGAAGACCAUAAUGAAAGAAUAUAGUAAUAAAUCAGCAGGGAACUUAUAUACCAUCAAGGUAAAAAGCUAUGAUGCACAGGGUAUGUUUGAUAACUUUGAAGUGAAAGUUUUAGUUGUCAAAAGCAUACAUACAUAUAAAUAUCUUCUAUCAAAAGAAUAAUAAGAAAGAUAGACAUAUCAAUAAGAAUAUACAUACAAUGACAUCAACCCAAACAUCACCUAUACAUAUGAUAUUUCAUCUAGCAUAGUUGUGCUUAAUUGCGAAAAAGAUGGAAGGUGCAUAUAAAUAAAUAUCUUCUAUCAAAAGAAUAAUAAGAAAGAUAGACCUAUCAAUAAGAAUAUACAUACAAUGACAUCAACCCUAACAUCACCUAUACAUAUGACAUUUCAUCUAGCAUAGUUGUGCUUAAUUGCGAAAAAUAUGGAAGGUGCAUAUAAAUUUAGGUAAAAUGAGGAAGCACCUCUAACAUGAAACGCAUUCCACCAUCCACGAAAUAGAAAGGUGAGUUGGUCAGAAGGAAAAGUUUCUUCCCCUUCUCCUUAAGCUUUUGUAGAAACUGCAAGACUUGGCUCUGCAGGUCAGAUAUAAUAGUUUAGUCUUGCAUGCUAGAUCUUCAGCAUAAUAGGUGAAAUAUCAUAUACCCACAAAUGAUCUACAUAAGUUUAAGAAAUCAAUAACUACGAAAUAUUUGUCAAUAACAAUCACAGCAAAGUGGUAAAUAUGUGCCACUUACAUUUUUCACUAGGUACUUAUGAGGAUCAGACAGAAUUGUCCUAUGUAACAGGCCGCUUUUAUGAACAUGCUGAAUAGCAUGGUUUACAUCUUCAUAUACAUAGGAAGCAUCAAAAUCCAACUUAGCAUCAACAAAAUGCUGGACGAUAUCAGCAAUAAGGCAUGCCUGUACGCAAGCAAACAUUUAUUCUUCUUCAGAUAGCAGAUAAACAAUGCAAUCAUGUAAUGCCUAACCUAGUUGGAAUGCUAAAGGAAAAAACCUCUGCAUAAAACAUCUCUAUAUACUACCAAAAUAUCAUUCCAUUUAACAGGCUAUAUAGUAUAUCCAUUUUAAGAGAAGUUAAAAUACACUUAUUGUACAAGCAGUUAGGCCGUGAGUUAGUAAAAAGAGGAAGAGGAAACCUGAGCUAAGCAGUUCUAGAAAAGAUGUUUGAGUUAGAGAAAUGGAGAGAGGAAAUGUCGCGAAGUAAAAUUCUAAAGCUUGACAAAUUAAAAUUUGAACUUACUAGUAUUAUAGUCAACUGUUAUGAGAAUAACUAAAAUAACAUCCCCAACUUAAUAUUAUCUAAAACAAGAGUAUAACUUAACAUAUACAGUCCUGCAAAUCAUAUGUUACUUUGCUAGUGCCUAUAAGCCUCAUUUCUGAACUGAUCAGAUGUGUAACACUAGCAAAUAUACUAGUUAGUGGAGAGAACAAAGAAAAUCAAACCACCAGCAUGUACGAAGUUUAUUAUUGCACUGCCAAUGUAGUAGAAAAGAAUGCAGGCAAAGUUGGAUGCCAUUGACAUUAACCAACUAGGUGACAGGAAACAAAUGGUGAGAGUUAAGUGCUUGCUUAGCCUAGCUUAUGAAAUAGCUUCUCUAUUUCAAAGCUUCAAUCAAGUGCUUGGCAGAAAAAAAAGUCUAAAGCUUUUGGUAUGGUGGGAAACUACAAUGAGAUUCUAGGCCCUAAAAGAAGGUCCAUUAUGAAGUUUUCUAUUUUGUUGUAGUUGGAAGGAAGUUGUUGCAGAAUUAUUUAUGAAAAAGCCAUAAGCCAUCAGUACUUUUUCGAAUAGGUCUACUAAAAUUAUGGCAAAAGCUCCAGCAAGCCAAAUAGGAAAGUGCCUAAUAUGGUGCUUUAUUAAUUGGAUACCAUAAUUAGAUACCAUUAACAGACUGUCAAAACAACUGCCUCAUUCUAAUGCUUCAUUUCUCAGUUUUCAAGUUCCAAAGAGGCUGAGCAACUUACUAUCUAGAGAAAGGAGAAAAUAGGUUGAAGAUGGGCUAGAAAAGCAAGGAAAAGUAAGGGGCAUAGUCAACAUUUACCUCACUAAAGCAAAAGAAAUCCAUCAGACCCACAAGUCUAAGUGCUUGAUCCCGGCCAAUAUGCCGAGUGCCAUAUAUUUCUACUAUUUUGUCCACGCUAAGCUGCUUGCAACCACCACAAACAUCACAGUUAAUUAGAAGAUAAUGGUAAAUCAGCCAAUUUCUGUUAAUCUAUUUCAAUAUAUUGAUCUUCAUUAUAUAGUAAACUGAUGACGUUGAGAAAAGAAAUGACAGCAGAACUAUGUAAAGUGUUUUUGGAAACACAAAUAUAUAGGAGCUUCAAGAAACACAAUUAUGUAGCAGACCCACAACAGGACUGAUCAGCAACAACAGAAAGUUUAACUGCAGAAAGUGACAAUACUUUGCUAUUGAGUUUUGAGUAUUAAAAAAAAAAAUUAAAGAACAAGUAAACUUCACUAGGUGAUGAGAAAUUAACCUGUAGUUUACUAGUUUUAUUACUAUAUUACUAACAGCUAAAUUUCAAGAUUAAAGUAACUUUAGUAGCUAAUUUGCUGACAUUAUUUUAUUAGCUUUUAUUAUGUGAACAAAUACCUAAUAUACAUAAGCUACAGAAACAUGUGCUGGUUGAUUCUUUUUAACAAAUCUCAAAUCGCUUAGCUCAAAGCAUUUAAUGCCAACAUAAUCGCAAUGCUAAUUAAGACUUUUUUCUUCAGCAGAAAAUUGCAAGAUUCCGUACAUUUCUAUGGCAGAUAAGUAUAUUCAUUACCUUUUUACGUCCGAAAAAGCAACCAUCUAGCUCUAUGGACCCAAAGAAAUCAAGCUUCAGAAGGCAUCCGUUGAGUUUAUCAUAGUACAGACCCCUGAUUGGAAAUUUGGGAUCAUACUCAAAUUGCAAGCAGCUCUCAGGAUACUUCAGCUAAACCAACCAAUUCACAGGCACAAGUUCAUCAAAGACUCAGCCGCAACAAUAACAACACAACUUAAAUACUAAAAUAAAGAACUUAAAGAUGGUCAACUAACCUCAUUAACAAGGUGCUUCUUUGCCAGGUCAUAGAUCAAAAUCUUGAGAUUUUCGGAGUAAUGGGCUAGCGUGUAGUCAUAGUCAAAACCGUAAACUUGUAUUGUAUCCAACCUCACAUUCUUGUUGACGUAAAUACCUAAAUUCCCCCUCAAUAACAAAAAUUGUCACGUUCAAGAUCCAUUCGUUACAAUCUUUCUUUGUCCCAAUAUCAAGAUAGAGAGAAAGAUAGAGAGAUAAUACCUUCCGGAUUCAUCUUGGGUAUUUCUUUGAGCACCUCAGGAAUGUUGUCAAAGUUCCUCUUUGCUUCCUCGAACUCACGCUGAAUCCUCUCGAUCUCAUCGUCAGCUCCAGCGGUGCUCGCGGCAUCAUCCGUUGUCAGCUCCGGAACCAGAGUUCCACUAAAUCCACGACGAAACUCCCCAAGUCCAAACCCUAAUUUCCAAAAGAAAACCAGCAAAUUCUUAAGAACUCUCUUCAAACCACUCAACACCACAUCAAGGGGGUAAGAUCCGAGCACCAACCUCUCUGACUCCUCCGAUGCGAUGAGCGCGCCAAGACGGACGGUUUCUGCGGCAAAGAGAUGGAAAACAACGUAAUCGAGAGACUAAUAGAGAGAUCGUGAGGCGAGGAGAGAAGGGUAUUGAGCUUACAACGAUUGGAUUGGAGGGGGAGAGGAAGAGGCGAAGAAGACGAGCUCGUAGCAUCGCCAAUGGAGAGAGAGAGAGAGAGAGAGAGAGAGGUGGGGAAUAUGAGGACGAGAGCGGGAGAAGGGAUUAAAAAGGGUUGGGUUUUGGGAAUGAAUUGGAGUUCGGGGUUUUUAUCGAUUCGAGGAUUCGAGUGUGGGGUAGGAACCUUGCAAAAUUGCAAGGGAUAAAAUUGCAUUCGCAGUCCAUAAACUUCACUCUCGUUUACCUUACGCCCUUGAACUUUUAACUUUAUAUUUAAAUUCUUUUUCUUGCUCGAAAGUUUUCAUUUUAGUCCUUAAAUUACUCAAUCAGCUGGAUUCGAAUCACUCAAAAGUAAAGGUGCGAGUCAACUUUGAUUCGAGAGUAAUGAAAAAAAAAAAAAUCACUAAUAAUUAUUUAAAUUCAAAUAUAAAUCAUAUAUUUAUUUGAUUAAAUCAUAAAUUUAAAAUUUAUAUUUAUAUAUAAAUCAUAUAAAUUUAUUGGAUUAAAUGUAAAAUAUAAAUUUUAAAAUUCAAAUUUUAAUUUAAUAGUUCUAUAUUUAAAUUUUGACUCUGACCUUGAAUUUGAAUUAUAAAGUUCAAAUUAUAAGCUCAAAUUUAGAUUUAAAUUUUGAUUACAAUUUUAAAUAUCAAAUUUAAAUUUCAAUAAAAAUUUAUUUUUUUAAUUUUAAUUUGAACAUGAUUUCAAUUUUGAUUUUUCUUAUGAACCAAACAAAUUAUUUUUUUGUUAUUUCAUUUUCAAUUCCGAUCUAUUUCUAUUCCUAUUUUCAUUUGGAUUCUUCUUUUUGAACUAAAUGUGUCCUAAAAGUAAAUGUAAGUAGCCGCACAUGGUUCAUAAUUAUUUGUAAUGCUCUUGCAUUUACAACACUAUCGGUCCUCUAUCUAUUUUAUACUUUGGAAUCUAGCCGUCUAAUUUCUAAUUUAAAAAAAAAAAACAUUUAAAAUAUGAUAUAAACUCAAGAAACAAUAAAUGCAUGAUGCAUAAAUGUACAAAUAUACAAAUCUAGAUAAUAAUUUGUCCUUCAAAUAGAAAUAUGGCUAAAAUAUAGAAAAAAAAAUUAAAAUAAAUAUUUUUUUACUUUCUGUUUUUCUGACUUUCAAAAAUUUAAAUUUGUUUCCCUCAAAAUUUUAAGUCGAUGCAUUUUGUCCCUCUGCCAGGUUCCGUCACUCUAUCUUUUUUUUUUCUACCGAAAAUAUUCUUAAAAAUAACACAAGUAUGUUAAUUUUUUUUUUUAUGAAAUAAGGAAAAACAAUUUAGCUAUUUUGCCUUCUCUAUUAACGCUACAAUUUUUAAAAAUAUUUUUAAAAUUUUAAAGGGACAAAAUGUAAAUUUUCAAAAGUUGAAAAUAAAAAUAAAAGAACAAAUAUUUAUAUAAAAAUUUUCUAUAUUUAUAUAAAAACGAGUAUUUGUAUUUUAUCUAUUUUCUGUAUUUUAGCGUGUUGUUUGCAAAAUUUACGCAACCUUCUAGAAGAUUCAAAGACAAAUCGAGUACGCUUUUGUUCGGAGUCGUUUUCACCUUUUUUUUUUUUUCUUUUUUCUUUUUUCUUUUUUCUUUUUUCUUUUUAUGAAGAUGCAUGUAUAGUUGCUGGUAAGCGUUAACUAACUAAUAUUUCAAAAGUACAUGCUCAUAAAAAAAAAAAGAUUCAUUGUAUUUAAAAAUUUAGCUACAGUGCUCAUAGAUUUUGCUUUAACUUGAUAUAUCUUAAUAUUUAGGUCUAUUGUUGGGUAUGAUUGUAAGCGCUAACUAACUAAUAUUUCAAAAGUACAUGCUGAUAAAAAAAAUAUAUCUGUCGCAUUUAAAAGCUCAGCUACAGUAUUCACCGAUUUUGAUCUAACUUAAUUCAUCUAGAUGUUUAGGUCUCUUAUUGGGUAUCUUGUAGUUAGAUUUUUUUUUUUUUUUAUAGACCACAUCACAAGUCAACUUAUUAUUUUUCUGAAUCUAUUAACCUAUUUUAUUUAAUAAUAAAUAGCCAAUAAAAUGCAGGGACUAAACCCUAACUUUUUGAUCGGCCGUCCAGAAUAUAACUAACCAACCAUGCUGGGUGACGUUAAUAAAAAUUUUGCUGCAAAAAUAAAAAUGUAGAGAGCGUAACGUGACGUGUCGUUCUAUUGGUUGGAUUAAGUUGAAAGAAGUCAACCAAUUUGUGCAUGAUGAUUUUAAAAGUUUUUUUUUUGUGAAUUAGAGUUACUAUAAAAAAUUAUUUUUUAGUCAUUAUUUAUUUGUAUUGUUAUGAAAAUAAAGUUUUUCUCAGUUAUAUUAUUUAUUUGGCAAGAAUUUAUAAUAUAAAAAUUUAAAGUGUGAGAGAUAAAUUAAUUAUUUUAUUUUGUUUUUUACCUUUUUUAUCUAGAUGGCUUCAACUUGGGUUGCACCAAAGUCAAUUAUGCUCUUGUACGGAGUUUGAGUUUCAAAUAAAGGUGUAGUUAUGAUAAAAACCAAAUAACGAAAAUAGAUAUUUAUGGCGAAAAAUCAGUUCACCCCGCUCUACUUUCAGUAAAAACAUGAAUACAGCAUAUUGAAUACUCCACAAUAUUUUAAAUAAUAAUUUCAAUUAAAAUGGUCUAAUCAAUUUUCAGAAAAACAUAUAUAUACAUAUAGUGCAGAGCUACUAUGCUUUCAGAAGAAUAAAGGGGUUGGUGCUUCUGACUUUUUAACCUUUCGAUCAAGGAUUGUAUAGUCGGGAUGCUAGUGGUCCUCCUUAGGAUUGAGUGGCUUUUCUAAGAUAAUAAUAUUAAUCCAAAUGUAAGAAACAAUAAAAAAGAUGGCCUUUUUGCAUAAAAAAUUCACUUAUUUUGGGCUUUUGCAAAACCGGGUCACCUUUUUCGUUUUUGCAGAUUCGGUCCGCUUUUUCAGCAAACUGACCAAAAUACCCUUAUUACUUUUUCUCUUUCCUCUUUCUCUCUCCUCUUCGUUUCUGUCAUUCUUUUUUUUUUCUCGCCGAAAAAAAAAAGGCGGACCGUCGCCUUCUUCUUCACCGUCGCCUCCCUCCUCACCAUCCUUCUUCACCGUCGCCCCCCUCCUCACCCUCCUCUCCACCGCCCACGACCCCCUCCUCCUCUCCUCCGCCGCCGCGGACCCCGAGCCCGAUCCCAUUGCCGUGGCGGCAGCGGCCGCGGCGAAUGGGGUCGGGUUGGAUGCGGAGAAGAAGACAACGGCGAAGAAGAAGAAGGGGAGGCCAAGCGACAGGGCGCAGGAGGGGGAGGCGGAAGCGAAUCGGGCGCCGCACCAGCACCGCGCGUGUUCUUCUCCGUCGGCGCUGCCCUCCUCCGCGCCGGCAAGAAGCCGCCGACCAGGCGCUCUGCUUCUCCCACACGACGACGUCGAGACGCCGCGUCCGCCGCCGACCCCGAGCCCGAUCCCGUCGCCGCAGCGCAGCGGCCGCGGCCGCGGCGAACGGGGUCGGACUGUUUUUUAUUUUAAACUGCAUAUCUUUAACAGAUAUUUAUACUGCUUCUCCUUUGUUGCACUGUUUCUCCUCUUGUUGAAAGGAGAAAACAGUGCAACAAGAGGAAAAACAGUGCAACAGAGGAGAAGCAGUAUAAAUAUUCUCUUAAAUGGGUGCAGUUUAAGAUAAAUGGGUGCAGUUUUUUUUCUUGUUGCACCAUUUUUUCUCUUGUUACACUAUUUUUAUUUUUAACUACACAUCUUUAACAGAUAUUUAUACUGCUUCUUCCUCUUGUUGCACUGUUUUUUUCUCUUGUUGCACUGUUUCUCCUCUUUAAAGAGGAGAAACAGUGCAACAAGAGGAAAAACAGUGCAACAAGAGGAGAAGCAGAUUAAAUAUCUCUUAAAUGAGUGCAGUUUAAGAUAAAUGGGUGAGUUUUUUUUCUUGUUGCAGUAUUUCUCCUCUUAUUACACUAUUUUUUAUUUUAAACUACACAUCUUUAAUAGAUAUUUAUACUGCUUCUCUCUUUUUGCACUGUUUCUCCUCUUAUUGCACUGUUUCUCCUUAAAAGAGGAAGAAACAGUGCAAUAAGAGGAGAAACAGUGCAACAAGAGGAGAAGCAGUAUAAAUAUCUCUUAAAUGGGUGCAGUUUAGAUAAAAAAUAGUGUAACAAAAGGAGAAUUAUGCAACAAGAGGAGAAACGAUGCAACAAGAGGAGAAAACAGUGCAACUUUCAUUUAAAGAGUGUAAUUUUUAUCUUAGUGGGUGCAGUUUAUAUCUGAAAGAGUGCAAUAAGAAGAGAACAUUGUAAAUAUCUUUCAAAGAGUGUAAUUUUCAUUUAAAAAGUGUAAUUUUUUUUUUAAAGCUGCAGUUUACAUCUUAAGUAGUGCAACUUGUAAUUUUUUGUAGUUAACGAUACAAUUUCAUCUUCAUCCUUUUUUUUAUAUAAUUUUUUAUCUUUAUUUUUUUUCUGUUUUUUUUUUGUCACCCUCUCUGUCAAUAGCCACGGUGUCGGUGACGACGCCGCUAAAGACCCCCCACUCCGAGGCUGCAGCGCCGCAGUGAUCUCCACGGUGUCGGCGUCGGUGUCGGCGAAGAUGCAUCGUCGUCGGAGGCAGCAGAGAAGGAGGGAGAAGGAGAGACGGGAAGGGCAGGGAAGAGCGAGAGAGGCGCCGUCGUCGAAAACUGUGGAGGAGAGUCAGAGAAGAAAAGAAAAGAAAAAUGCAAAAAAAAAAAGUCACAGUCCGGCCUUAGGGGGAUCGGAGGCGAGGAAGGUGGGGGCGCCGGUGGCGACGCCGCUUUGUCUUCACCGCUCUUUGGGAAGAGAAAGAAAAAAAAGAAUGAGAGAAAAAAGAGAAAAGAAAAAGGUAUAAGGGCACCUCCGCUCCGUUUUCGCCGCUCUCUGGGAAGAAAAAGAAAAAAGAACGAGAGAAAAAAAAGAGGAGAGAGAAAGAGGAAAGAGAAAAAGGUAUAAGGAUAUUUUGGUCAGUUUGCUGAAAAAGCGGACCGAAUCUGCAAAAGCCAAAAAGAUGGCCCGAUUUUGCAAAAGCCCAAAAUAAGUGGAUUUUUUAUGCAAAUUGGCCAAAAAAGAUUGAUUCAAAGGCCAAAAAGUUAGAAACACCAACUCACUUGUACUUUCCAAAAAGUAUAAUAACCGUACUAUUAUAAAAAAUACUAUCAAUACACCCUAUAAGGCUUAGUUUGGUAUUGAAGCCUAUCAAAGGCUAUUAGAUAAAAUGGAGUUGAGAAAAAAACAUAUAGGGAUAUGCUUUUACAUUUUCCGGUGGGACCGCAGAAAAUAUAUCGUAACUGACUCAUUGCGAUAUAGGGAACGCAAUAUUACGUACGGAAACAAACAUGGUACUUUUCCGACGUAGUUUCUCACCACACGAAACGUUAUCUCCCCGCAAUUCCAAACGAAGCCUAAGUAAGAUGUAAAUCUUAUUUAAAGACAUAAAGAUUUAUUUUUAAUUUUGUAGUAUUCCAAAAGAAAUAGAUAAAAUUAGUAAAAGUGUUAUUAGUCUUUCAAUGGUUAGGUUAUAAAAUUUACUCUAUUUUAUAGGUGUACCAAUAGAAUUAUUUGUCAUGGGCAUUACCAAAUUAAUAAUAUUGAAGAGUUUUUUUUUUUUUUUUUUAAAUCCAUGGUCACAACCUUUUUAUAAAACCAUAAGUCAACUUUGGGUGAUGUAUGUCCCAUUGUCAUCGAAUUGAGGAGAGGAAAAUUAUGACUUUUUAUUUUGUUUAAGACAUCAAAUGAAACACAAUACAUAGAAGGACCGCAGAAAAUUAUGACUUUUUAUUUUCCGGUGGGACCGCAGAAAAUAUAUCGUAACUGACUCAUUGCGAUAUACGGAACGCAAUAUUACGUACGGAAACAAACAUGGUACUUUUCCGACGUACUUUCUCACCACACGGAACGUUAUCUCCCCGCAAUUCCAAACGAAGCCUAAGUAAGAUGUAAAUCUUAUUUAAGGACAUAAAAAUUUAUUUUUUAUUUUGUAGUACUCCAAAAGAAAUAGAUAAAAUUAGUAAAAGUGUUAUUAGUCUUUCAAUGGUUAGGUUAUAAAAUUUACUCUAUUUUAUAGGUGUACCAAUAGAAUUAUUUGUCAUGGGCAUUACCAAAUUAAUAAUAUUGAAGAGUUUUUUUUAAAAAAAAAAAAUCCAUGGUCACAACCUUUUUAUAAAACCAUAAGUCAACUUUGGGUGAUGUAUGUCCCAUUGUCUCUUACAUCCAAUUGAGGAGAGGAAGGGCCUCAAAUUAUGACUUUUUAUUUUGUUUAAGACAUCAAAUGAAACACUAUACAUAAUUACAUAGAAGGACCUGUUGCACUCAUGGAAGCCAAUUCCACCUUUUGCUCCACCUUUUCCAUCUUCAAUAGAAAAGUCAAUUAUAUCGACCGUUCCUGAAACAAAUGGCAAAGGCUUGGCAGUGGGUACCCGAGGUCCCAAUCACAAAUCCUAGUUAAUUCACAUUUCCAGCUAAGUUUAUUUCUAAAUGAAAUAAACGAAACAAGUAGCGUACUACUUAUCUCUCAAAAAAAUGAAAAAGAAAAAAGUCAAUUAUUCAAGGAAAAACAAUUGUCACAACCCCUAAACUUUUGCCCAAUUUACAUGUCGAUCAUGUGGCUUUUAUAAUAUUUUGCUCUGAUGCUAUGCUGCUCAAAAAAUUGAUUUAAUAGCUAGAAAAAAAAUUCAUAAUUAGUUUUAACACAUUCCUCAUUCCUUAUUCUUGUAUUAAUUUUUGAAAUUUUAGAAUGACAUGCACCAAUCUCAUUAUUAAUUAUAGUUUCAAUAAGAGAUAGGAUGUUGAGUAAAUUAUUAGGCAACUGCGACCAACAUAGUGAUUUGCCAGAUUCAAAUGUUUUUUGUCUCCUCCAUGAACACUUAAAAAAAAUAAUGAUAAUUAAAUAUAUUAAAAAGUUAAUCAGUACAAUUAAAAUUUUAAAAGAUUGAAUAACUAACUUAAAAUAGAGAAAACUUUAAAUACCACCCAUGUGAUUUCGCACUUUUUUAUUUUCGUAUCAUGUGAUUUAAAGUGUAUUAAUUUAAUACCCCGUGAUUUUUUUUCUUUUUAUUAUUCCCUUCACUAAUUUUUUUUCGUUAAAUCAGUUACAAAGUUAAAACUAAAAGAUACUCAAGUAAUUAUUCGAUCAACGUAGGUGAGGUAUCUGAAGUUUUUUGUAUAUAAUAAUUUAACGAAAUAUUAACGGAGUAGCUGACAAAAAGAGAAAAAUGAAACCACAUGGUACUAAAUUAAUACACUUUAAACCAUAUGGUACUAAAAUGAAAAAAUGUGAAACCACAGAUAUGGUAUUUGAAGUUUACCCUUUAAAAUAAUUAACAGUUCAAAUAGACUUUGUAUGUCUUUACCAAAUAAAGUUCAGCUACUAUGCUAUCAAUAGCACUAGGCGCUUUGUGCUACAAAGUUUUUCGCCCUUAGAUUUACUCUUUUAAUCAUUUUCACCCGUUAGAUUAUAUUAUUCAACCAAUCACUCACUCAACUCUAGGAAAUCACUAUCAUCUAAGGGCCGAAAACUUACUAGCACUAAUAAUUUGGUGCUAUUAAUACUACAGUAGCCUAGUUCUACAAAAAUAAUUAAUAAUUACUAACAGGGAAAACUUCAAAUACCACCCUUGUGGUUUCACACUUUCUUACUUUAGUACAUAUGGUUUAAAAUGUAUCAAUUUAGUGCCAUGUGAUUUUAUUUUUAUCUUUUUACUAUCGAUUUUACUAGUUUUUUUCGUUAAAUCAGUGAUAAAGUUAAAACUAAAGGAUACUAGAGUGAAUACUCGAUACACCUAGAUGAGAUAUCUAAAGUUUUUUUUAUAUAUAAUUUAACAAAAUAUUAACGAAAAAGCUGACGAAAAGAUAAAAAUGAAACCACACGACACUAACUUGAUACACUUUAAACCACAGGGUACUAAAGUAAGAAACUGCGAAACCAUAGAGGUGGUAUUUGAAGUUUAUCCUUAAUAAUAGAGAAAACUUCAAAAACCCCUCCUGUGGUUUCAUACUUUAUCAUUUUAGUACCAUGUGGUUUAAAGUAUAUCAAGUUAGUACCUUGUGGUUUUUCACUUUAUCACUUUAGUACCCUGUGGUUUAAAGUGUAUCAAGUUAGUACCUUAUGGUUUUGCACUUUAUCACUUUAGUAUCUUAUGGUUUUAAUUUUGUAUCAAGUUAGUACCCUGUGGUUUUUAAACCAGAGGGUACUAAAGUGAUAAAGUGAGAAACCACAGGGUACUAAAGUGAUAAAGUACAAAAUCAUAGGGUACUAACUUGAUACACUUUAAACCCCAGGAUACUAAAGUGAUAAAGUGAUAAACCACAUGGUACUAACUUGAUACAUUUUAAACUACAGGUGAAAAAAAAUAAAACUACAAGGGGGCUUUUGAAGUUUUCCCUUAAUAAUAAUAAUAAUAAAGGAGGGAACAUUUGUAUUGUCUACAGAUGACGUGGUAGUCCAGGUCCAGUGAACAGUAUCAGGCACCCAACUGCUGACGUGGUGAACCCGGUCCACGCUCCACAAUCUCCCGAACGUAAACGAACCCCGUCACCUCCGCUCCAUGUGGCGCGCUUUUACCAUACAAACGCCACGCCCAUCCCCACCCCGUGGUUGCAUAACAAACCCCCCACCCCCCCUCCCCCCCUCCGCGCGCAACGAAAACGAAAUACAAAAAAAAGAGCUCAUAGUUGUCUCCGCACCACGCGAUACCCCUCCCUCUCUACCCCCUUCACGAGAAAGCGAGAAACUCUCUCUCUCUCUCUCUCUCUCUCUCUCUCUCUCUCUCUCCAUUCCCAUCCAUUCCCCCUUUCCCCUUUCCCCUCCACCUCUUCGAUCCGAUCGAGCGAUCGCGGCUCUAGGGUUUGCAAAUCGGAGGAGAUGAUCCCCGAUCUGUGAACGCGCGAUCGAUCGAUUUGGCGUUGCGGUGUGGAGAUUCGAGCGAAUGGAGAGGAAGAAGUACCCGAUCCGGGCGGAGGAUUACGAGCUCUACGAGAUCGUCGGGCAGGGGGUGAGCGCGUCCGUUUAUCGGGCCCGCUGCGUCCCCCUCAAUGAGAUCGUCGCGAUCAAGAUCCUCGACUUCGAGCGGGAUAGUAGCGAUCUGGUAUGGUUCGAAUCGGGAAUGAGUAACUUUGUGUUUUCAAUUUGUUUUUCUUUCCCCUUCUUUUCGAUGCUAAUUAUCGAUAUGAAAUCCAGAUCUUGUAGGAUUUGAAAUCUUGUUAUACGAUUGCUCGUUGAUCGAUCGACUAGAGUUACUGCUAAACGUUCUUUUCUUAAUCUCCCGUUCAAGUGUGUAUUAGAAACAAUUAUUAUCGGAUCAAUUUGAUCUUGUUACCUUUGGAACAAGAGGUUAUAAUAAGUAUUCAGAAUUUUUUAUCACUUUAUACAUGCAGAUCGACAAGCAUACAUGCUGUGUUGAGCUUGAAAGGAUGGUUGAGCACAUGCAAAGUUGUUGUAUUAUAUCUUUUUAAUCGAUCAAAUACAUGCAACCGUUCUGUUGUUUUAUUCUCUAUGUCAUUGAUUUAAUAUAUAAUGAACAUGCUUAUUUUGUAUUUGAAUAAUUGUCUAUGAAAGUGGCUACUUCUGAACACAGUUUUAAUUUUAUAUUAGUAAGAAAAAUAAAUGAAAAUUUUAAAAAUUGGUAGAAUAAAAGAAAAACACUAAUGCAGCGAAAUGCAUCCUCUGUUUUUCUUCUUUUUAGACUUUUUUCGAAAUGUGUGAUUUAAUCUACUGGACUAUCUUAAUGGCAGCAAUCAUGUGUCAUCGUAAGUAUUAGCAUGAUGCAUAUUAAUCACGGUAUGUAUAAUUUUCUUUGUUAUAUUCCUGAUGCUUGUUGCCUUUUUUUUUUUUCUGAGAGAGAGAGAGAUCCUUUUUUUUUUUUUUAAUUACACACUCCUCUGUUUUCUUGUGAAACAUCAUACCUGAUUGGUUGAAGGCGAGGUCUCAAUAUCGUUGUUUCUGUGCUUUUAAGUACCGCAGCAUCUUGAUCAUUUGAACGGCAUUUAUUUAAACACACACCCACACCCACACACGCCGACCCCCCCCGCCCCAACCCCCAACCCCCAACCCCAAAACCUACUUUAUGUAACAAAAGUAACUAUUUAAUUACCAAUUAUUGGACAUCACUUGAAUCUGAUAUUACUCUUUCCUGAAUGGUACUGCUGCAAUGAGAUCCUCUGGAUAUAAAAUGCAUUUCCAUGAAAGAUUUCUUCUACUGUAGUUCUUGCUUUUAAAUGACUUUCAUUUUCUUUAUACAGGGAAACAUCACCCGUGAAGCACAAACUAUGAUCUUGAUUGACCAUCCUAAUGUUCUGAAAGCACAUUGUUCCUUUGUAAAUGACCAUAACUUAUGGGUUGUCAUGCCUUACAUGGCUGGAGGAUCUUGUCUUCACAUAAUGAAAUCAGCCUAUCCUAAUGGUUUUGAGGAAGUUGUGAUUGCAACUGUGCUGCGUGAAGUCUUAAAGGGCUUGGAAUAUCUUCAUCAACAGGGUCAUAUACAUCGCGAUGUAAAGGUAAAUGAGCAUCUAUUUCUAAAAGCAUUGAUUGGUCGUCAUUACUUGCUUAUCAUUUUCUCUUCUUCUUUUUUUUGAGAAAAAUGUAGCAUGCUACCACUUCAUUCAUUUAGGAGGUAGUCUAAGCUACAAAGAGGCAACCAGGCCUCAUAGAGAGAGUUAAGAAAAAAAAAAAACAGGCGAUUACUUGCUUAUCAUUUUCAAAGACAGGCGAUUACCUGAUUUAAUUUCUCAACUACCUCUAGCUUCAUUGCCAUAAGUUAGCCCUGUGAAAAAACAGACUACUUGCACUAGCAUUAUCGCUUGAAUGGGUGAAUCACAUAGUGCAUCUCAUGCUAAAUAGGUAUUCUAAUCUUAAUAUUGGUAUGCCUAUGUGUUGUUUUGUGAACUUAUAACUUCGAUGAUUACUAUCCAAAUGGUAUUUUGCUUGCUUUUGAGAUUGUUUACUGUAUACACCAUUUUUUAAUGAGUAUAAUUCUUUAUUGAGUGUGACUUCUUUCGAUUGAUUGCGGGCACCAACCUUGUAGUUAAUAAAGUUCAGCAUGCGAUGUGAAAUUUGGCUUAUCAAAUUUCUUCCUAUAUGGUUUGGGAGCUUUUCUUGAGCACUCAAUUCCUGCUUUUGCUAUAUUGUCAGCAGAAUGUUCAAUAGAACUAUAUAAUAAUUGAUGGGGAAAUCUGUUUCAUCCUGUAUUUGCUAUCUUGUUCUGCGAAGUGUUUUAAGUGUCCUCCUAAUUGCCAUUGCUACAGUUGUCUCAUCUGCCAAAUGGAUUGUUCCAUACUAUACUUUUCUCUUUUUUUCAAGUGAUUACAUGAGAAAACAUCCAUUGAACAUACAGCCAUUGUCCGAAGGGGACACAGCUAAUUAUGUAAAUCUAAAGCGCUAAUACAUGGACUGCACAAAAUCAUGAGCCGGUUGCUUCUGUUAAUAUAGCAGUGAUUCAUCUAGUAAGCUGCUAAAUGGAGAUGAAUAGUCGUGCUUGCGCUCAGAAGCAGUUGCUUUAGAAGGCUAAGUAAAAGAUGCUGAACAUGAAGGAAAAUGAGUGGCCAAAGAUUUAGAGCAAGUUUGAAGUUGUGUAAAGGAGAGGAUAAUAGAAUGCCAAAUGGCUGAUACUCCUGUGGCCCAAGCUUCCAAAAACUGAUUAGAACAGACAGAAGAUUGAUAAAGAUGAGGGUGAUGCUUUAAGAAGUGGAAAGCUACCCAUUCACAUAAAGUGUCCUUAAUUUUAUUUUUCUCUUGUAUUUUUGUAUCAUAAACGUGGCCUCAUAGAUAUUUUGGACAAGCAUAAAUGAUCCUACACUCUAUAAUAACGAGAAACUUUGUGCCCUGCGAAACCAUAUCAUUGUUCAUGGUGCUGUCAAUGCUGGAAAUUUCAUGCAGUAUGAAUAAUUUUCUGGACUUUUCCUGAAUAUACUCACUCACUAAGAUUGAGAUAUAUUAUCUUCUCUUGCAGGCUGGAAAUAUCCUAGUUGAUGUACGAGGUGGAAUUAAGCUUGGAGAUUUUGGGGUCUCUGCUUGCCUUUUUGAUUCUGGUGAUAGACAGCGCACCAGGAAUACAUUUGUUGGGACACCUUGCUGGUGCUUAUUCUAACCUCAGAAGCAUCUUAAGAUGCCCUUAAAUUUCUAUGUUCCAGGUCAAAAUCUUUUGUUUAUUUUGAUAGGAUGGCACCAGAGGUGAUGGAGCAGCUACAUGGCUAUGAUUUCAAGUUGGUCUAUUGACAUUUCUUAGUCACCGCAUUAUCUUCUUAUGCAGAAAUCCUUGGUGUGAGUAUGUUCUCAUGCAUAUGCUUUUAAUAAUUGAUAUACAGGGCAGACAUAUGGUCGUUUGGCAUCACUGCCUUAGAACUUGCUCAUGGUCAUGCUCCUUUCUCCAAAUAUCCUCCAAUGAAGGUAUAUUUUGAAUAGAUAAUAGGAUAUCAAAUAUUUGAUAUUCUGUAAAGAGUUUGUAUGCAAUAGCUUUUGUAUUUAUCUAUAGUACGUGCAGUCAUGCACACUAGACAUCAUUUCAGUAGAUAAUAGUUGAGUCCAUGCGAGUUAGAUGACUAAAAGGGUCCUUUGUGGAAGAUAUUGCAAGGAAAGUUUUGCUUUAUAUGAAGUCCUUAAAUCUAGUUCACCUGACAGGUCUUGCUUAUGACCUUGCAAAAUGCUCCGCCUGGCCUUGACUACGAAAGGGACAGGAAAUUCUCACGGGUAUAACUCUUUUUUUAUAGCAAACGCUGCAUAUAUUCUGUUUGAAUGUGUUUCCUCACUCAUCCACUGAGUUCCCAUCUAAACAUAUAGCAAUUACUCUCAUUUUUGAAAAAUAUAGUAUAAUGAACUAUAUAUCUUCUAUCACAGUUUUUUAGGCAAAUGAUCGGUAUGUGCUUGGUGAAAGAUCCUUCGAAAAGGCCUUCUGCAAAAAAGCUCUUAAAGCAUCCUUUCUUCAAGCAAGCUCGGUCUCAAGAAUUCCUAAAUCGAAAAAUUUUGGAGGGAUUGCCCACUCUUGGUGAUCGUUAUCAGGCUUUAAAGGUUAGAAUCAUGGCUGAAUUUUCAUCAUAACAGACUAGCAAUUAGCUCUUGGUUCUAAUGAAUGUAUUGUACGCUAUAAUCUUGAUAAACAGGAAAAAGAAGAAGACUUGCUUGCACAGAAGAAAAUGCCAGAUGGAGAAAAGGAAGAGAUAUCACAGGUUUUGCUAUCAUUAUUAUAUUCCUCUCCCUGAUACUUGUUUCGUAUUGUUCAUCAGGACUGAAAAAUUCUCAUGGCACAUGCCACCAUCUGUUUAAUUUUGCUCAUUAUUAUAUUCCACUCCUGUUCUUUCUGAGAUUAGCUGAGAUCAGGUAGUGGAAACCAUUGCAAUGUGCACAUACCACUGAAGAUAUUUUUAAUGGUUUUUUCUUUUUCUUUUUUUGUUUGAAUGAAAGGUGAAGAGAGUACUAGACUACUACCCUAAAAGAGAAGUACUAUUCAGAGAAAGCAGAAUGGGUGCAAAAUAGAAUCUGUGUAUCCCCUCACAUAAUCACACUAACACAACAUGAUUUGCAGUCUUUCUCCUACUAUCCAGAACCUUCUGAACAUAGCUUGUCUUCAAUCAUGGUUAUGGAUAGUAUUCCUUUCAAAAAAUGUUCAUGGAUAUAAUUAGCAGUGUUCUACCUAGGAUAUUAUGUGGGAGAACCUCGUAAGCUCAGCCAUAUAUUGCCCUUUGGCAAGUCAGUGUACUUAAGAAGGAUUUUCUUUAUUUGUUCUUCUCUUAAAUCCACAAGAUAGCCCUGAAGAGUUUUUUUUUUUUUUUGAGAGAGAGAUAGGUAGCACGCUACCCGCUUAGUUUAUUUCAUUUAGAAAUAAAUUUAGGUAGAAAUGUGAAUCAACUAGGAUUUGAACUUGGGUCUCGGGUACCAACCACCAAGCCCUUUGCCACUUGCUCUAGGGACGGUCGGUAUAGCCCUGAAGAGUUAAUCAUCUCUUUUCUUUAUUUUGCAUUCUUAAAAUCACAGUUUUUUAUAUCAAAUGAUAAUUCUCUUUUCAUAGUUGUAAUUAGGAGCUAAUUUUUUCAUUUCACUUUUCGUAGAAUGAGUACAAAAGAGGAAUCAGCAGUUGGAACUUUGACAUUGAGGACUUGAAGGCUCAAGCUUCACUGGUAAGUGUGUGGCCUCACUACUCUUUCCAAGAAUUCAGUUGAAGUUAUUCCUGAGGGAUCACUACUCUUUCCAAGAAUUCAGUGGGUAAUAAAGUGUUAUCCUCUGUUAACCUUUGGAAUUCAUUCCUGAGGGAUUAGGGAGAAAUGGAGGAGUGGGAAGCUUAUUCACUGUUCUCCUAUUACCAUGUAUUUUGUAUUUUGUUUACUCUCAAAUAGGGUGCUCCGUGUUUAAUUAAAAAAAAAAAAAAGAAUUCAGUUGAAGUUUCCUAUAAUAAACUUCAUUAUUCUUCAGCUUCCAGAUAAUGAGGAUAAUAUUCCAAUUAAAGAUCCUGAAGGGUGCGCAAGUUCUUUGUUUGAGAUCGAUGCAUCACAUGAAAGGAACCAAGAAAGCUCGCCGUUUGCCGCCAGUUGCUCAUUGAAAUACGAAAUGGAGUCGGUAAGUUUCGACUUUCAUAUAGAUGGUGAUUUAAGAAGGUAAAAUAUGUUGACUGUUCUCUAACGGCUAGCAAGAUUGCUAGGAAAAUGAUGAUGUAAUGGCCCGAAACAAAUUCACUCCCAUUUCAUCACCCGAUCAAACUAGUUCUCAGAGGUAAAUAUUGGCUUCCACCAUUUAAUUUUUAUGAUGUUGAGAGAUGCUACACCUUGUUUUUUAAUUCUCCACAGAGAUCCAUGUGAAAAUAACUUAUACUAUCUUCCAUGAGUAUGUCAGUAGCUUGAGGCAAUUUAUUUUACAUUAAGGUUGUAACUUUAGCAUGCAAACCAUUAGUUGGCAUGGCCCAGUAUUCCAACAUGUCUGCAUGCAUUUUCUGCUGCUGGUAUAACAACCAUGUGCCUGCCCUGUAUCUGCAUAGGGAUUGUAGUUUUUUUUUCGAUAUUUUAUUCCAUUUGUUCCUAAAUGUAUUUUAUCUAAUCUUUUUAACUCUGUCAAUUGAUUAGUUGUUUAUUUCAAAUAAAUUCCAUGAAAGCAAUAUGGGCUGUUAUUUUAUUUGGACUUAAAAAUUUGGUGAAUGGCAAACUGCUCCCAAGUUUAUUCUCAAUUUCAUUGAAAUCUUCAAUGUAAAUGUAUUGUGAUGCUUACAAUGGAUAAACAAAAAGAUCUAUAAAUUGUGUCGCUAAUUUCCUAUGCAUCACAGACGUGGCUUCAUGUCCGACAUGGACGUGCCAUGGCACAUGCCAUUGAAAAAGUAUAUAUUUUUUUAUUUUACUCUUUUUAUGCAUAUAUAAUAUAAGAUGAUAAAUACUUUGGCUCUUUAAUGAAAGCAUAUGUACUCUUUUUGAACAGUAUAAAUAAAUUAUGUAUUUCUUUUCUUAUAAUAUAUGAACUAUCAAUGAGAAUUUUAUGAACUUUCAUUCAUAUGAGAAAUAUAAUAAUAUUUUAGCAAAACUAAUAUAUUAUAUAUAAUUAACAUAUUAUUAUAUUAAUAAUAUUAUAUUCUAUUAGCAUUGUCUAUGCCGUAUCCGUGUCCUAGUUUUUUGAAGCAAUUGAGUUGUUGUGUCCACGACGCCUAGCUAAUUUCAUCUAGUCAUUGUAAAAUUAAUUGGAUUAGGUGAAAACAAGGGAACAAAUUGGGAAAUCAAUUUCCCCUCAUGAAAAACUUCCAUUUUAUCAAACUUGGAUGAUUGCAAAUGCAUGAAUAGUAGUAUAAUGGGGUUUGGAAUAAAACGUCAAAAUUGUUGUUGAAAAUAUUGGACUAGUAUGGUAUUCAACGCUCCUUGCUGAACAGCCACUUGAAACCUUGUUUUACACUGUUUUGCACAUGGAUGGCUGUGCCAACCAUGUUGAUCAGCAUAUAUCAGCAUGAGCCAUGCAGAUAGCUUGUUAACAUGGUGCAGCAUCCACGCUGGCACCCUGUGCUACAUGCCUAUCUGUUUAUUCAGUGCUGCUAUAUCUCAGCCAGACACGUGAGCAAGCCCUAAGGCCAAGGUGUCAUGGUGAAGUAAGAAUGAUUUUGGUCAGAAAACCAUCACUUGUAUAAAGAAUCCCUCAUUAAGGUUACUUUUGCAAGUUGAAUUAAGUGGUACAUAGUCAGAUAUAUGUCCUGAAUUAUCUCCAAUACAGAUAUACAGUCUUGAAAAGUGAAGCAAAUUGAUUUUUCUCCUUUUUGGUACAGCACUAAAUCUGAUGCAUCUGAUAGCGAGUUUAAGACUAAUGGUACAGCUGGUCAGCAUGAUAUUAUAUCAAAUGGAAAUUGCAGAGAAAAUUGUGUUGCUGAAAGUUAUGAAUCAGUGAGUGAUGAAAAAAAUGCUGUGAGUGUUCCGGCUAAUUCUUUUCAUGAAAGGAGGUUUUCUACAAGUUCUUUCUCCUCAGAUAUUUCUUCUUUAUCAAAACUGCCAAGGUAUGUUAAAUUUCAUACAACUACAAAAGACAUUGCAUGUGGCAGUCAUCUCUGUUACUAGGCUCUCAUCAUAUUUGUACAAUAUUAACAUGGCCUACAAUUGGAUUUCAACUGCCAACCUUUUCGCUGGCUUUGGAUUUUGAAGUUUGAAUGCAAUUUAUGUUCUGUUUACAAUAGCCCCAUGCUGCAAAGUCUCUAUGAGGUUUCGCUCUGUACGCUAUAUUCUGUUUGUCAUAGUCAUAGUGCUUCAUUUCUGUCUAGAGCAACUUGUCUUUUUUAUUUUGAAUUUUGAAGGUCACACUAUCUUUUAUUAUCUACCAUCAAGAGUUACAGAAUUCAAGGAAUAUAAUCUUGUACUUUUCCUUGAACAAUAUUUCUUGCCUAUCCACAUUUAUCCCAUUAUCGUUACAUUAUAGUCAUUAUUACAAUUAUUUCCACAAACCAAAAAUUAAACUCACUUCAUUUUUGGUUACCCUGGGAUAAGAGGAUAAGCCAGGGAUUGAAAAAGGUUAUCCAACCUAAAUUUAUCAUUGAACCAAGCUGUACCUACCUAUAUGUAUAUCCCAUUAUUCUUAGUUAAAACUAAAUAAACAAGCAGUUGUACUAGGGUUGUGAUUCGUAAUUUGUGAGCCAUAAUACUGAAAUUGGGGAGAGAGAAAGAAAAGUAGAAGGGCCAAAAGAGAAAAGAGCAAGUAAAUUGGAGAGUAGACCUUCACUUCCUGAUUGAAGUCAGUGGUGAUUCUUGUGUGAUUGUUAUUCCCCAACUAAACUAAACAUUGCAAAUUUUGAGUGAUGCGUGUUUUUGUUUUCAUAGAUGUGGAUCCUCUUUUUAUUUAGAUUUGCAUAUUCAUGCAUUCUGUUGUUUUUGUUUUUGCUUAGACAUGAUUUAACUACUGUUUGGUUCUUUCAGUUUGAAACACCAACAUAGCAUGCGUGGCAUAGAGAAAGGCAACGGAGUGCCAUCCAAUGUAGUAGAUGAAGAAUCUACUGAAGGAAUACUUAAAAUAUCCAAACCAGCAGGUGUGCACAUUUAAAGGAUGUUGCAAUAUAAGGUCCCUGUACUGCUGUAACCAAAAUUUGAUUUAUAUCUGUGACAUUCUUGCUGCAGCAUCGAAUGCUGAUGAUAGUGAUGAUAAAUCAAAACCUCCAGUUGUACAGCAGAAGGGUCGUUUUAAAGUGACCUCUGAGAAUAUUGACCUAGAUAAGGUAUUCUAAAAGCACACUUUCUCCUUGUUGGUUCAAUUUGGUUUUAAUGCAGUUCUUUUUCCCUCUUCUCAAGGCUCUUCCAUCUAUUGGCAUCCCAAAGAGCCACAGCAUGCAGGUUAGUAGCAGUUCUAUCUAUUAUUUCUAUGGCAGUUACUUUCUAUGAAAGUGCCAUUCCCUGCAUUUCUACGGAAAUAUGUAAGAGUACUCUGGAUUAAAAAUAGAUGCAAUACUUUAGGAUAAUAUGUUUCGAGGAUGUAUUAGUUAUUACUUCAGUCGAGACACAUAUAUUUGAAAGACUAGAAUUUUUGCUGAAUAAGCUGUGAUAAUCAAUAUUCAUUCUAUAGUUCAUCAUAAUAUUUGCUACACCUCAGUAGUCUAUGACAUACUCAGCUAUAUUCUGCUCGUCUCUUAGCGGCUAAUGGGAAAUAAAUAAUUUCUGAUGCAUCCUAGCAUCGUUGCAGAUAAGUUGCUAAGUUUUGUGCAAUCAAAGCGUGAAAGUUUGGCAGAAUCAUUUACUUUUUCUUGUUUCAAAAACAAUAUAUGUAACUUAUGACACAGGUGAUUUCUCAGCUUCCGACAAUAAGCAUCCCUUCAACAGCUGGUUAUACAUCAAGCCUUCUUGGUUAUUCUAUUUUCCCACAGCUGCAAGGUAUUUUGCAAGCAAAUAUGCUCCAAAGGGUAUGUAUUUUCUUUUCUUCUUUUUUUUUCUUUUUUUUUUGUUGAUGCCCUUUUACAUUUCUUAUCUUCUCUCUAUUUCAGGACAAUAUUCUUAGUUUGAUGAAGCAGUUGAGCAUUAGUGAGCAAUCACCUGUUUCUGCAUCUUCAUCGAGUCGUUCCCCUGAGGGAGUAUUACCAUCAGUUCCUGCCAUUAUAACUGAAAAGUCUGCCAUUAUAACUGAAAAGUCUUUGGUAAGCGACAGCAAUAUUUGUUGUAAAUUAUAAUAAUUUUUUCUUGAUCCUGCAAACUAUGCAAUCUAUUCUUCGUUCUUGUUAGCAAUGCAUAUGCUAAUAUCAGUCAAGCUGCUUUUCCCUAUGAAAUAUAGAUAUAUCUUUGAUAUCGCGUUAGGCUUCCAUAGACCAAAUCGGUUUCAUAUUGCAGUGGCUUCAUUAUUAACACUUGAUGAAACACCCUAUAGCAUAACUAUGCUGCCUAGGAAUUGAAGCCCCAAAUGCAAAUCUAGUUAAUAUUCAGGAGGAACCUUUUAUAGUAGCUUUGUUGCAACAAAGUCAUUUAUCUAGAGUUUUUUUAUUCUGUGUAUUUCUUAGUGAUCGAUUGCAAGAACUCCUCUCUUGCAGUUAGAAGCAGCACAAGAAAGAGAGAAGGAACUGAUACAAGAAGUCACUGAUCUGCAGUGGAGGUAUUGACCUUGUCAAGAACGACCAGACGCCAUUCUAGACACAAAUAUGUGUGCCCAUUUCUAAGAUACAUCGGUUUCAUUCGUGCAGGCUGAUAUGCGCGCAGGAUGAACUACAGAGGCUUAGAGCCAGGAAUCAGUUUUGAUGCAGAUACAGCUUACUGUGCAUGAUGAUAUGAAGACAUCAAAAUGUUACACUGUCCCAGCUAUGCCGGAACUUAAAUGGUUAAAGAAAAGAAACAUUAUGGAGAUGGUGAAGCAUUUAGAGCCUUCAUUACUAAAAAAACAAGAGUUUAAGAUCAGAGCUUAGAAAAAUAUCAUGUACUGAAAUACUAACUUGGACAAAAUAAAAAUUGCUAGGGUAGGCCUGUUCAUGCUAAUGAGGACUAAUGGUAGUAGCUUGCUUGAGCCCUCAGAGUAUUCGAAUCUGUGGGUGUAAUAAUGAAUUUGAAUUGCCUCUACAUAUGCGAAUUUGUGGAUGUAAUAAUGUACACGACGUGCCUGGUUUUUUAAGUUGUCAAAAUGUUUGGAGUCUUUUAUUGUGGUAAGAAUUUAGAAUGAGCUUUUUGAACCUUUAAAUCAAAAGCUGGAACACGAAAUUUGCUAUGAUGAUUUCCAUAAGAAUUUCCGCUUCUUAUCUUAAAAUUCUUUCUCUUUUUUUCAUCUAAUUAAGUUGUAAUGGGUAAACUACAAUUUGCCCUCCCUAGGUUUAGUUUAUUUUUACUUUUGCAUUCUGUUGUUUAAAAAAUUUUAUUUUACUACUCUAUGAUUUAGCUUAUUUCUUACUUUGUCAUUAUGUGGUUCAAGAAGUUACACUUGACUAUUUUGUGGUUGGCACAUAAUUUUAUUUUCCUAUCCUAUUUGACAAUAAAUGUUUCGGAUAAAAAUAAUGAUAAAAUUACAUAAUAGUUAAGUGAUAAUUUUUCAACCACAAGAUAACAAACUAGGAAUAAGUCAAAGGACAUAAUGGCAAAUUAAAGUUUACUUGUUGUAAUAUAUAUCUUUAUGAAUUGAGCUCCUAUACUUUUAGUAGUACAAGUUAUUGGUGCUUGUAGGUUUUUAGUAUUUAGAUUAAGAAACAUAUGGUUAGGAUGAUAUAUAGUGGUUCUCUAGUGUUUAGUAAGUAGUUAGGAUGAUAGUGGUUCUCUAGAGUUGAGUAAGUGGUUGGUUGAAUAGUAUGGUUUAACGGAUGAAAAUGAUCAAAGGAAUAAAUUUAAUAGCCAAAAAUUUAUAAGCACCAAAUGCUACGUGCUUUUAAAAAUAUUAUAACUGAACUCGUAUCUUUAUAUAUUAUUUUCUUGCUUUUCAAUUAUUUACAUGAUAUUUUUACAUUGCAUUCCAUUGAACAGUCCUCACUAGUGACCGUUUUCCCCAAGAACACAUAUGGGGAGCCCAAAUAUCGAACAGUAUCGCUGUGGAAAUCGUAGGUGGACGUGCAAAUCUCGCCAGAUCAUUUUUAACGUCUUUUUUUACUUCUUUAUCGCAGAUAUUCCCAUCGUACGUACUGCUGCCCCACCAAGAGCACAUUCCCGACUGCCUCGCAGUCCACGUCGCAUCGGUUUCCGCGCCAAGCUGCUGGCCGGCUGUCCCGCUGGAAGUGCGGUUCCAGGCAGCCGUGACUGCAAACAGCUGCUGCCGCCGCCUGCAAAGGCUGCGACGCGGAGGGCACGCUACUGUACAUUCCUCCGCGCAUUCCGGCACUCAUACACGACCUUUCAAAAUUAUACAUUUGAAACAGCCAUGCAAUUUCAUAUGUGAAACAAAAUUAAUAAUAUUAGAAGCCUCACGUGACUCAAACUCAUAACUUUUUAUUUUGAUACUACGUGAAACAAUCGUUGUACUCUAAAAUUUUAAGCGGUUAGAGAACGAUAUGCACCUAUUUUUUUGAUAUUUAACAAUACAGAACUCACCUGAGCUAUGGACCAUUUUAAUUCGACUAUUCAUUUUUUAAAUUUUUAAUUUUACUAUUUAAUAUUUUAAUUUGUUUGAUUUGAGUUGGGCAACAUUAUUUUGACUUCAAAACUUUAAUAUGUCGUUUAUCUCUACAAAUACUAUACAUUUCAAGUCAAAGUACCUCUUGAUGGGUUCAAAUCAAACAAAUUAAAAAAUUUGAUAGUAAAAUUAAAAUUUUAAAAAAUUGAAUAGCUGAUUUAAAAUAGUUGAUAAUUUAUAUAAAUUGCGUACGUUUUAACCAAUCUUAAAUUAUAUAAAAUAAUAUUUUUGUACUUUUAAAUAUUCUUUUUUUUAAAAAAAUGUUGCAUUUGGAUCUGUCAUCCGAAAAACUUCAAAUACCAUACUUAUAGUUUCGUAUUUUCUCACUUUAAUACCAUAUGGUUUAAAGUAUAUCACUUUCGUGCCUUGUGGUUUUAUUUUUCUCUUUUUGUUAUCCCCUCCAUUAAUUUUUUUCGUUAAAUCAGUGACAAAGUUAAAACUAAAGGUGACUAAAGUGAAUAUUCGAUAAACUGUAGAUGGGUAUAUGAUUUAACGAAAAGUUAAUAGAGGGACUGACGAAAAAAAAAAAUUAUCAACUAUUUUAAAUGACCCUCCAUAAACUCAAAAUUGGCUAAAUGACCCUGCCAAAGUUUUAUUUAUAAAACUAACCUUCCUUUCGUCACGUGGGAGCCACCUCAGGAUUUUCUCACAAAGACGGUGAAUCGUUUACCGUCUUUGUAAUAUUUGUUGUGAAAGGCGGUGAACUAUUCACCGUCUUUAGUACAAAAUUUUUCUUUUCUGUUUUUUCAAGUCCGCCGUUCCUGUGCCCUCGAAAAGACGGGGAACGAUUCACCGUUUUCUCCCGCCUUAUGAAGACGGUGAAUGAUUCACCGUCGUAUCAAGAACACCAUAUUCUGGACUUGAAAAGAUUUGUGCAUCAGAGUAAGGAUUUGUACUAAAAACGGUGAAUGGUUCACCGCCUUAUGAAGGCGGUGAAUGAUUCACCGUCUUCACAACAAAUAUAACAAAAACGGUGAACGAUUCACCGUCUUUUUGAGGAAUAUCUGACGUGACGCCCACGUGGCGAAAGGAGGCUUAGCUUUGCAAAUAAAAUUUUGGUAGGAUUAUUUUGCCAAAUUUGAAUUCUGGAGGGUCAUUUUAUAAAAAAGCCUCUAUUUUGACUUCAAAACUUUAAUAUGUCGUUUAUCUCUGCAAAUACUAUAUAUUUCAAGUCAAAGUACCUCUCGAUGGGUUCAAAUCAAACAAAUUAAAAAAUUAGAUAGUAAAAUUAAAAUUUUAAAAAAUUGAAUAGCUGAUUCAAAAUAGUUGAUAAUUUAUAUAAAUUGCGUACGUUUUUACCAAUCUUAAAUUAUAUAAAAAAAUAUUUUUGUACUUUUAAAUAUUUUUUUUUAAAAAAAUGUUGCAUUUGGAUCUGUCAUCCGAAAAACUUCAAAUGCCAUACUUAUAGUUUCGUAUUUUCUCACUUUAAUACCAUAUGGUUUAAAGUGUAUCACUUUCGUGCCUUGUGGUUUUAUUUUUCUCUUUUUGUUAUCCCCUGCAUUAAUUUUUUUCAUUAAAUCAGUAACAAAGUUAAAACUAAAGGUGACUAAAGUGAAUAUUCGAUAAACUAUAGGUGGGUAUAUGAUUUAACGAAAAGUUAACAGAGGGACUGACGAAAAAAAAAAAUUUUGAAGCCACAGGGUACUAAAUUGAUACACUUUAAAUUACAUGAUACUAAAGUGAGAAAAUACGAAACUACAUGCGGUAUUUGAAGUUUACCCAAAUCUAAAAUAUAACAGUUACACCGACCAUCCCUAGAGCAAGUGGCAAAGGACUUGGUGGUUGGUACCCGAGACCCAAGUUUGAAUCCUAGUUGAUUUACAAUUCUAGUUAAGUUUAUUUCUAAAUGAAAUAAACGAAACAGAUAGCGUGCUACCUAUCUCUCUCAAAAUAUAAUGGUUACAUGAUGUGAUGCGGUGUCUCCAAUCAAUUAAAUUGUUCCGAAGUUCAAUCAUUCUAUUAUAAUUUUUUUUAAAUUUAAUUUAAUUAUAUAUUUUUUAAGAAAAAUAUAAUUGACUAGAGAUGUGACUUCAGUAAGAUGAUUGAGGGGGCAUUCACAGAAAUACAAGAGUCCCAGCCAACCAAUAAAGUUCGAGCCCACAGGGCCCCACAUUCUCCCACUCUGAUCAUUGCUCUGACCAAGAUCAAACGGUCCGUAUAAUUUUUGGAAUAAAAUAUCACAGGUAUAAAAAUAAGAGCCUCUGAAAAAUUCGAAGGGAAUCCCCCACUUUCUCUUUCAAUAAAAGUUGCAACAUAAAAAAAAAGAAAAAAAGAAAAGAAAAAAAAUAUAUAUAGAACUUAAUUGAAAUUUUAGUCCAUUUAAAUUAACUAUCUAAUCUUUUAAAAUUUUAUUUUUAUUAUUUAAUCUUUUAAUUUAUUUAAUUUGAAUUAAUUAACAAUUUUUUUAUUUUAAAAUUUAAGCUAAUUGCUUACUUUAGUAAAUUUAUAAUUGCGAGAAUUGCAUAUAAACUCUAGAAUUCAGAGAUGUGCGGUUAGAAUGAUAAUGAUCUCUUCGAAUUUAUAUAGUCAUUUCAGAUUGAAUCGGUGGUUAGUUAAAUAUUACAAUCUAACGGAUGAAAGUAAUCAAAGAGAUAAAUCUAACGGCGAAAAACUUAAAAGUAUCAAAUGCUUUGUGCUUUUAAAAGCACUAUAGCUGGAAUAUAUAUAUAAAUAUAAAAGAAAAACUACAUCCCUCUUUACAUUUCUCUAGAAAAGUAGAGAAAAAUAAUGACAUAUAAUAAUAAUUAAUAACAUAAUUAAAAACCAAUUUGAGGAAUUCUCUCACUUGCUAAGUGUUAAUUUACUCAACUACGGUGUUAGUGGACCGUGUCGUGCCGUGCCGUGUCGUGUCGUGUCGAUUUUUCUAUCUCGGGCCAGAUAAUUCCAUCUCUUCUACCUCAUCGAUCGACCGGGAAUCGCCGUCGUUCCAGUAACCAUCGUCGUCGUAGUGAAUCAUGUAGGUAUUUUCGUACGCACUCAGAGGAUCGUCGGUCGGAGGGGGCGGCGGCGGUGGCGGCGGCGGCCGAUUUGAAGCCUCCCACUUGUCGGCGAGGCCGUCGCCUUCGAGCAUUCGGACCACCUCCGACAUCUUGGGCCGGUGGGCCGGGAGGUAUUGGGUGCACAAGAGGGCCACUUGGACCAUCUCGGCGACUUCGAUCCGGUCGUAGGUCGGGCCGAGGUCCGGAUCCACUAGUAGCUCCACUCUCUUCUCCUGGUGGGCCUUUCUCACCUGUAUUUUGAAAAUUAUAAUUAAAAAAAUAAAGAUAAAUUAAAAAUUUUAUCAUACUCAUAGAUAAUUUUUAUCAAAAUUUAAUAAUUUUAGUUACUAAUAUUACUGAGCUAAAUUAAAUACCUAUAGGAGUAAACAAGACUGUUUAUUUUUCUUGUCAUUUCCUCCAACGAGGCAUCUGAAUUGACGAUCAGCGUAGUUAAAUACCAUUUAAUGUUUUAGGUUUCAAAUUUCAUAAAAUUUUCAUAUUAUUUGCUUAGUAUUUUAAGUGGUCUAAAAAGUGGCACAUUUUAAUGGCUAAUAAAUAUGAGCUGAAUUCCAAAUUACUUGAUCAUUAGGCAAAUGAUAUAAUAAAAUUAUCAAAAUUUAAUUUCAAAAAAAAUUAAAUAAUUUUAGAUCAUAUUAAAUAGAGUUGAUCGUUGAAUCGAAUGCUUUAUUGUUGGAACCAAUGUGAAAAUAAACGUCUCUAUUUACUUUUAAAAGUAUUCUAACUUUAUAUUUACUCAUAUAUAGAAGUAUCAUGUAGUAAUCAAUUGAAUUUGACUCCUAAAUUUUGAUAUGUAUUUUUAAUUAUAGCAAUUUAAUAUAAAAUUUUCACCUCAAUUUUAGUUCAAAUGUAUAGUUAAAUUUAACCCUAAUAAAAGUUGAUUUUGUUACAUCAUAACAUGAACUCGCCUAAAAGUCUAUUUUAUUUUAUUGUAGACUUAGCAUUUCUCUUUACUGAAUAAACUUAUCGAUGCUAUACAGGUGCAAUUGAAACAGCGAGGACGAAAUUGAAAUAUCGUACCCAGUCGAGCAUGAUGCCGCCACCGCCGCCGCCACAGCCGCCCUUGUUGGCGUGCUCGGCCGGCGGUGGGAUCGCGCGGCGGCCGGUGACGAGCUCCAGCAGCAGGACGCCGAACCCGAAGACGUCGGUCUUGUCGGACGACUGCCCCGUGGAGAGGUACUCCGGGGCGAUGUGGCCGACGGUCCCGCGCACGGCGGUGGUCACGUGGGACUCGCCGUGGUCCAGCAGCUUCGCGAGCCCGAAGUCGCCCACCGCGGCCUCGCACCGCUCGUCGAGCAGCACGUUGGCGGCCUUGACGUCACGGUGGAUGAUCUUCGGGUCGCACUGCUCGUGCAGGUACACCAGCCCCCGCGCCGCCCCCACCGCAAUUUGCUUCCGCGUGUUCCAGUCCAAUGGCGGCUUACCUGUGCACAAAUCAAUUAAAAUCCGUUACAUUAAUAUAUCAUCAGCAGUCCACAAGAUGUGCAUUAUAUAAGGACAUUCAAAUUAUUACUAAUAGGUAAAAAGAGCAAAGAAUUUAUCAGAAAUAUGAACGAUUUUGAGUCAGCAACUCAAUCUUUUCAAAUUUUGAAUUCACUAAAUCUUUCAAUUUGAUUUUAUUAUCAUCUUGAGUCACCUAAUAUUUUAAAUUUUGAUCUAACUACCUAUUUUUUUAGUUUGAUUGGAGUCACCCAACGACACUUUGACUUCAAAAUUUAAAUGCGUUGUUUAUUUUUACAUGUUAAGUUAGUAUAUUUUAUUCAAUUCUCGCAACUAUAAAUUUAUUAAAAUACACGACUAACUUAAAUUUUAAAGUAUAAGUAUAAUUGACUGACUCAAAUUAAACAAAUUGAAAAAUGAGACGAAAAAAAUUAAAAUUUUAAAAAAUUAUAUUUUAACACUCUCUUCAUUUAAAGACUACUAUUUUUUUUUACUUGUGACAUCAAUUCUUUUUUAUUUUUACUAAAAGUUAUUUAAAAUUUUUUGAAUUUUAGGAUUGAGAUGUAUAUUUAUUUUUUUAGUUGUAUAAAUAUGAAUUUUUUUUUCCAGUUCAGAUAAUUUAAGUUUAUUUUCACCUUUGCUAAUUUAUUAGCAUAUAUUAUAUAAAAUUUUUAAGACACAUCAUUUCUCUCGAGGAAAAAUGAUAACUUAUAAAAUAAUAAAAUAAUAAAAAGGAGGAAAAAAAGGAAAAAGAGGAAAGAAGAGCAUUUGGUGGGGUCCACAACGACGGUCAAAAUCAGGACCGUGAGACCGAUGCGCGUCAUCAUUAGCCGUGCGAUCACCGUCGUACGGUGAUGAUAACGACUGCGUACACAAAACCAAAUUUUUUAUACGGGGUGGGCCCACGUGACCGCAUAAGGCUAUUAUGCGGGACCAACGCACCGUUGCGGGGUAUAGAGAGAGAGACGAGACUCCCCAGGUAGGGCCCACGCUCACUUUAUACAAUAUUUUUUUGGUAAAAAUGCAUUGAGACCCCUCAACCAUGACUCGUCCUGUAAAAAGCCCCUCAAUUUUUAUUUAAUUCUACUGAGACUCUAGUUCUAAUUUGUUUUUAUUAUUGUUAACUAAAAUUUAAUUAAUUUCAAAAAAAAAAAAAAGUUAACAGAGUAUGAUAAAAAAAAAGUUGAGGGCGCAAUUUUGAAAAUGUCAAUAGAUGAGGGGCCUUUUUAAUUAUUUGCAUCAAGUUUUAAAAUAUAAUUAAUUUGGCGAUUUUAUUUUGAAUGAUUUAUGCACGUACCGCGAAGACGGGAGGCGACGCUGCCGUUAGGCAUGAACGGAUAGACGAGCAGGCGCUCGCCGGGGGCGGCGCAGAAGCCGAUGAGGCGGAGGAGGUUACGGUGUACGGCGAGGCUGAUCAUCUCCAAUUCGGUCCGGAACUGCGCCUCCCCCGGCCCGAAGAGCCGCCGACGUCCUUCAGCCGCUUCACCGCCACCGCCGUCCCGUCCGACAACCGCCCCUUGUACACGUUCCCGAACCCGCCCUUCCCGAUAACAUUCCGACGGUUGAAACCGUCAGUUGCGUGUAAUAACUCUCUUAGCGUGAACUGCCGCAGAUUCCCCGGCGCUGCCACCACCUCUCCGUCGUCGUCGUACUCCGUCUCUGAAAAAAAAGAAAAGAAAAGAAAAAAAAAAAGAGUUCAUUAAAAUCGUAAAAAUUCAUUAACUUUUGAAUAAAUAUAAGUAUUUGAUAGGGGCAAAUUAAUCACCAUUUAUACCAAGCACGAAUUUGUGCUUCUGCUUUUUCGUGCGCCGCCAUAGUAAGAAGGAAACAGUUAGUAGAAGAAGCGUAGAGACACCGAGGCUUGUGCCCAUCGCAACGGCUAGUUUUCGACCCUUCGAUCUCUCUGAAUUAAAUCAAAAAAACAAAAACAUAUCAAUAAUUAGAAAAAAAAAAAAGGAAAAACAUCAAAUACCCCCUAUGUGAUUUUAUUCUUUCUCACUUUAGUAUCCUGCGGUUUAAAGUGUAUCAAGUUAGUACGCUGUGAUCUUACACUUUCUCACUUUAGUACCCUGUGGUUUAAAGUGUAUCAAGUUAGUACUCUAUGGUUUCAUUUUUAUAUCAAGUUAGUACCCUGUGGUUUCAUUUUUCUCUUUUUAUUAUCAAUUUCGGAAUAUUUUUUUUCGUUAAAUCAGUGACAAAGUUAAAACUAAAGGGUGCUAAAAUAAAUAUUCGUUAAACCUAGAUAGGAUAUUUGAAGUUUUUUGUAUAUAAUUUAAUGAAAUUUUAAACCACAGGAUACUAGAGUGAGAAAGUGCGAAACCAUAUGGUACUAACUUGAUAUAUUUUAAACCACAGGAUACUAAAGCGAGAAAGUGCGAAAUCACAGGGUACUAACUUGAUACACUUUAAAUCACAGAAUAUUAAAGUGAGAAAGUGCGAAACCACAGGAGGGAUUUGAAGUUUUUCCAAAAAAAAAUGUAUAAAGCCUCACUUAACAUGCAUAAUA